UAUUCGUUUAUUGCAUUCAACAUUUUAAACAGCUUGAUACAACAUUUCUUUAAACUAAAGCCAAUACUUUGGAUAUUAGCUUUAGUUUUCUUUUUCAUAAUGUCGAUUCAACAUUUUGAAAGGCUUGAUUCGAUAUUAUUCAACACCUAAUUCAACAUUCCAAAUAUACUUAAUUUAACAUUAUGUCCGCUCAAGCAUUUGAGACCUCAUUCGAGGGCACUUGGAAUCAGUGGGGCAAUGUAAGGAGCCAAUGUGCGACGCGGAGAAAAAAUAGAAUACCUCACGAGUACUAUUGCUUCAUCCGUUCCAAAAUGUACAUCGUAUUGAUUUUUCUAUGUACAUAGAUUUUGCUAUGCACUUAAAUAUAGGAUUUUAUUUAGGUGCAUAGUAAAAUUUAUGUAUUUAGAAAAGCUAAAACGAACUAUUUUUUAAAAAACGGGGAGUAAUUCAGAACCAACACAACACGACAUCCAUGCAAAAUGGAAGUAGAAAUACGUCAACGCGAGCAACGUUAAUUGAGCCCACACGUAAAAGUUUAGUAAAUAAAGCACCAGCAGCUGAGAGCGAGCUAACCAACCACGCCGGUGCACCAGUUAUGUGCUCCACUAGUACUGUCACGUACGCGUCAGUACCACACAGCUAGAGAAUCUGUGUGCUCAUGCUCACAACGGGCCUGCAGCAUGCAUGGCCCUCCUGGCUCUUCUUUGCACGCAUGCGCUCUCUCGUUCGCUGUCCCGUAGACACAACACACAAGGCUGGAAGCCUGGAACCGUGCCGGCCGGCGGCCGCACAAAGUCAGCGUCCAGAACCGAACACGUAACGCGUGCAACGGAGGAUAUGCCCCCAGGCCCCAGCUAACUAUCGGGUGCUUAUCAUGAGCCCUUGAUCGAUCGGUUGUCAUGACCGGCGGCCCCCUGGAUCAGACACGUUUAUUCAAAUUCACCCAAUAUGGCAAACGAGACUAGGCUGUUAAUAUGUUAUACUCUGCAGGUCAACGCUGUUCUUGCCGAGACAUCACGCAUUCGUGCCCCGGCGCUGCAUCGCCCCCGCAGUCUCAGACUAGGCAAGAUUUUGAACAGUCAAAUGUCCAUGCCCACCACAUUCAUUCCUGCAGUAGAUUAACAAAGGACCAAGGCGGUGACCUUCUUUGAGGAGGAAACGGAAGGAGCCCUGUUCCUGUUGGUUAUGCAGGGCUGCGGCUUUUAAAAGAACCGGAGGGUCAAAAGCGCAGAUAUAAAACGUUCGCCUGGCCUAAUCGCUGGCACACAUCGCAUAUGCAUUUUGCUGCCUUGAUCGCUCACGCAGUCAGGCUGUAUUCGGUCACGGUCUCACGGAGGAAAACGUGUCAGCCAGCGCGCGGAUUCCGCGUUUUCCACGUUCACGCUCACCCCGGCGCACGACCGACCACCGUGUUUCGGAACCUCGCCGCGAGACCGGGGAUGAGAGGCAUUCCGUUCCGUGCGCACGAGCGCAACCCACCAAAAUACAGAUGCCGUUCCUGCGUAGCGUCACGCUGCAGCGCGAGGGUUGACCGGUUGAGGGUGAUCAUCAGAUCGAGAUAAGAGAGGACUAUAACAUGUCUGAGCACACCGGAGGACUAUAACAUGGUUGAUGAAAGAGAAUUUCGCAGUUCCGACAAAGGACUGAGGGGACUUGUCACCGAAAGCACCCACACCCUGCGCCAACGUGGCUGGGUAGCAUUUGAUCGUGGGAAGCAAAGCAGGCGACCGGGCCCCCAUGCAACGUAUAUUUGCCACCGGUUUUUAAAGCCUGAACCAACAGCAGACUACACAAACUGAAAGCGUGCUCCUGCGUUUACAAGGAAACAAAAGAUAUCCAGGUCAUGUUUAGUUCACUUCAAAAUCCCAACUUUGACACUAUAUAAAAUGAAAAUUUCCCAUCACAUCAAACUUGCGGCACAUGCAUGGAGUACUGAAUGUAGACGAAAUCAAAAACUAAUUGCACAGUUUUGUUGUACUUUGCGAGAUGAAUCUUUUGAGCCUAAUUAGUCAAUAUUUGGAUAAUAAUUCACAAAUACAAACGAAACGCUACAAUGUUGCUACAGUAAUUUUGACACCACAAAGUUGGGUAACUAAACAAGGCCCCAAUCUUCAGACUGAAGAUACGCUGCCUAAACUAUAGGAUCAAAGUUAGGUAGGUGAAAGCGCUGGAACGGGGCGAGGUUAUUGCCAGGUGCUGCUGCCGGGCGCGCUACAGGCGCGAAAAAUACAACACCAACAAGGAGCCACGGCAAGCAUGAGCUGAUGAACAGAGGACGUCAAUGAACAGGAGUACCAACGACGAAUGAUGUAAUCAGAUAGUACUCUCCAACAUUCAACAAGCGGUGGCAAUAAAGAAUUUCGAGGGAUUACAGCUAGGCAUCUUCGGAUGGCUCGUCCAGAUUCCUAAUGGAUUUGGUGACGGCAACAAUUUUGUGCCCCGGGAGCCGAUGAGCUCAUCGCACCAGGCAGGAAAAGGCUAACGCCAGGCGGAUGCGACGGUGACCACGCGCCCCAUCCACCCGACCCCGAGCCGGCCGCUGUCCAGCUUCACGUCGAACCCCGGGCGUGCGUGGCCGAGCCGUGCCUUGACGCGGUCGGCGAUGCCCUGCCCGAUCGCCACUGGCCGGAGCCCCGCCAUGCCGAACCGGGCACGCCACUUGCCGAACACCUCGCACCGCUCCAUCCGGUCGGGCCCCUCCCGCGCCAGCGCGUUGGUCGCCUUGUUGGCCAGAGCCUCCUCCGCUCGGGCCCUCUGCGGGCUGUCGCGGGCCAGCGUCGCGUCCAGGGACUCCAGCACCGCGCCGUAGUGCGCGCACGCGUCGGCGAACCGCGCCGCCAGCGGCGCCGUGUUCGUGUUCAGCUCCUGCUCCACCAGCGCCACGACACGCGGGCCCAGCGCGCGCACGCGGCGGAGGAGCUCGUCGCGCGGGUUCGCCGGGGACACGCUCUCGUCGGCGACGCGCGAGAGCGCGAAAGCGAGGUUCACGGCCAGCGCCUCCCCCGGCUCGCACCCGAGCCUCGACGCGUCGAUCUCGCCGGCCCGGCAGCUGACCGCGUUGAACCUGAACUCCAGCCCGGCUUGCUGGGCGUGCCUCUUGAGCCGCUGGCCGGUGGCCGCGAGCGCCUGCGUCAGAGCCGGCGUGAACGGCGACGCGGGGUCCGCGACGGCGGUGACCUUGAGGCAGGUGCCCGCCACGCGGCGGCUGGCGAGGGCUUGGAUGAGGGCGAUGUGCUGCGCGACGCUGACGUCGAAGUCGAUCAGGUGGAUGGCGCGCUGCCCGGCCACGGCGUCGAGGAUGGCGAGGUUGGCGCCGUGGAGGGCGAGGCCGAAGCAGGGGGAGACGUCGUGCAGGAGCUGGCACGCCGCACGCUGCUCGGGGCCGCAUAGCUCUGCGAGUUGUUGAGACGAGGGCGGGCCGAUGCGGGAGGACAGGGCAGCCGCCAUCAUGGCCACCAGCCUCUGUUCCGCGUCGCCGCGCGGGUUCACGGUCGUCUUCAGGGCCGCGAGGUGAGCCGCGGCCGCGGUGCGGUUGCCGUCGGCGACGGCCGCGGCGGUCUCGGACAGCAGCUGCCGCGACGAGGCUACCGAGGUCGGCGGUGAGCUGGACGCUGUCGAUGAAGCCGUGGACGACGAGGCAGAGUUCGUCGGCGACCUUGUUAUGGGCACGGUGUUGUUGUAGUUGUUCGUCGCGCUCGCCAUGGGAAGAGAAGGCAACGACGCCGCGGUGAUGGAGUUGAGCUCCUGCAUCGUGUCCCCCCACGCGGAGCUGGUGACCGUGGAGCCGCACGCGCUCCCCGCGGCCUCUGCAUCGCCGUCGUCGUCAUCACCCAGCAGCUUCUUCUCCAGCUCAUGCAGCAACACCAUCUCCCUCGCCGUCGCGGGCCUCGCAGCCGGUCCCCUGGCCACCACCGCUUGAGCAGCCUGCGGAGGCGCGGGCGGCGCAGCCGCCAUCUGCCGCCGCAAUAGCUGCUGCAUCGGCGGUUGCGGCUGCGGUGUCGCCAUGUGGGACCCGGUGGUGAGCGACGAGAGCGUCGACGACGGCUGCGGCGAGAGCCCGGCGAAGCCAGCCGAAGGCGGCCCGGAGAAACCCGAGCUCCGCGAGGCGGCCCUCGCCAGCACGGCCCCGAUGUCGAUCGGCGGGUGCGCGGCCUGCGCCUGUGCCGUGACGCGCUGCCUCACCGCGCGCAGGUACAGUGCCUGCUGCCACCGCUCCACCUCGCCCAGGCUCCUCUUCAGCACCCCGCCGGUCGCCACGGCCGCAGCGUCCUGCCGCGGCGGCUGCUGCGGUUGCCGCCUCACCCCCGGCGCCCGCGCGACCGAUCCGCCGCCGUAACCGUAGCCGUACCCCCCGCGAGGGUCGCACCACGGCGCGCCCGCGGGCUCCAUGCCGCCGACCGACGAAGCCCAGAGCAAAGCAAGAGCAGCAGAGACACCCCGCACGCGAGCAGGCAGGCCCAGCGGGAGAGAGAUGAGAGAAUGACAGAGGGAUGGGACGAAUCUACCGUGCAGGCGGAGGUGGAGAAAACAAGGAAUCCCGUAGCGAGGAACCGGCUGCGCCCAUUCAAUUCCUUGCUCCGCUAAUAAAGCGCCAGCCUUUUCCGCAGCCCGCCCUGACGUUAAUAUGCCUCUUCUACCGGACCUCCCCCGGUGCGAACAAGCGCGUACGUACUCUUUUGCUUUGCUUGGGAUCCGACGCCAACGCCAGUGCGGCAGCGAUGACGCUGACGGCGUGGCCGUGGCCGCGUGGGGCUGCGCCUGCGGUUGGGGGAAUUGACCAAUCGGUGGGUGCGGGGCUUUACCUGGCUGGGACGUGGAGGAUCAGCGGAACGCGGCCUGGUUUGGUUUCCUUCUUAUUUUCAAGCACAUAUCAUGUCGAAUAUUUAGAUACUAAUUUGAAGUAUUAAAUGUAAAUUAUUUAUAAAAUUCAUUACAUAAGUGGAGGCUAAACGACGAGACGAAUCUAAGCCUAAUUAGUUCAUGAUUUGACAAUAUGUUGCUACAGUAAAUAUUUGCUAAUGAUGGAUUAAUUAGGCUUAGAUUCAUCUCACCGUUUAGCCUCCACUUAUGCAAUGGAUUUUGUAAAUAGUCUACGUUUAAUACUCCUAAUUAGUAUCUAAAUAUUUGAUGUGACACGUGCUAAAAAUAAGCAAAAGUAACCAAACGCCCCCGCAAUCCUCGUCGGCUUGUCGCAGUCGCCAGUCGCAAGGUCCGGUCCGAGUCCGGAGCAAGGUUUUGGUGCAAAAAUAUGCGAGGGCUGCCGUAUGCACGGUAUGACUGGAUGGGGUGUCGUGUGGUGAGGCUGCCGGAUGCAGCUUAUCAGCAGCGUAUGUAAGUAGUGACGAGGAGCGGAGCAGGCAGGUGAAGUGGACUCGUGGAGAUGACGGGGGCCGUGGUGUGAAGGGAUGGGAAAACGGGGAGGGCGAGGGAGACGUCGCGUCAAGCCAUGCUCCUCGUCCGGACGCCACCGUCUCCACGGGCGGGGCGCCCACGGCGACGCCUGCCGGUGCACCAGACGCGACGCCACCGACUAAGAUUGGGGAGUUCCACAGUAAUCACCUUCGCUACCUUCUUUUAAACGGAUCACUUUCGCUGCUAGUACGUUCAUUGGUACAGACUACAGACGACGAGACCUCAGAACCAUGUGACGACCGCGGACAAGUGGACAAAAGGACAAUGGCACGCUUAUCUGAUUAUACUGUAGGAGUACGAGAUUGAGGGAGGUGGUAAGAGGACAACAAAGUCAAUGGAACAUAGUAUUCUUUUGAGGGGAGGCGGCAGUCUCAACUUUUUUAUUUUUUAGUCUUUUUUGAAAAAUUCUCACGAAUACGUCCCUGGCUGAAUCAUUUCAAAAUAUGGACCCUUAGCUUGGCGUCAUCCAUGCUGGCGCCAAGCUUACACGUCUCGGCGCCAAGAUCCAUGCGCAGCGGCUGACGCGGAUGCCGACGUGGUGGGGGCUUGACGCCAUCAUGGAUGGCGCCAUGGAUCUUGGCGCCAAGCUUGGCACCGAGCAAUUUACCCCAUGCCUCUCGGCGUUUCAAACGAAACAAGUAUAAUUAUUCCGAGGAGUAUGCAAGAAACUAUGUUGUGGUUCAACUGGCAGCCCACAUCCUAACCAGUUAAACCACAGCAUAGUUUCUUGCAUACUCCUCGGAAUAAUUAUACUUGUUUCGUUCAAAACGUCGAGAGGCAUGGGGUAAAUUGCUCGGCGCCAAGGCCUACGGCGCCAAGCCCCCGCCACGUCGGCAUCCGCGUCAGCAGGUGCGCAUGGACAUUGACGCCAGGAUGGCUGGUGCCGAGAUGUGUAAGUUUAACGCUAUCGUGGAUGGCGCCAAGCUAAGAGUCCAGAUUUUUGAAAUGGUUCCGCUAGGGAUGUAUUUGUGAGAAUCUUUCAUAAAAAUGACCUUAAAAAAAAGACGGAGCGGCAGUCUCUCUGGACUCUCGAGUUGCUUGUGCGUGGGAUGCAACGAAGUUGGCUGGAAAGAGAACUUUCCAUCCAACUACCUCUUUACCGACUUUGAGUGUGAAUUUACAACUGUCUCGCUAAUUCCUAUCGGAUGUCAAUUCACACUAUAUCUGGUUUCAGUAUGAGUUCACAAUCGUCUCCACCUCUUUCCUGUUGGUUCGUAUUUUAUCACUGCCUCUACUUGCAGUCUAUAGGUCCAUACUAUGUCUUAGAAUUCCACAUAGUAUGACCUUUGUAUUUGUUGACUCAUGUGGAUUUACAAAUAACAGUGUUUUCUAAUAUUCGAUCGUGAGCUAUAAAUCUUGGAGGAGAUAGCAUAUUUAACAUAUUGUAUUAUUACUGUGUUUUCUACUGGUAAGUCAUAUCCAGAUGGCUCUAAAAUAUUUAUCGGUUUGUUGUGAAUGUCAUUGUCCACGUGUUCUCUACAACGACGGGGACAUUUGGAUGCUAAUAAGAAUUUCAUCCAAUGCUUUGGCACGCCACUAUUAGUGUAUAAUAUAUGUGCUAGAUUUUUUUUAAGAAAAAAAAGGCACGAUUCUUGGGUGUUUUUUUAAUACUUAAUUCUUGGGUGUUAUAAUUAACUAACUACUGGGCCACUACUUCAAGCUGCACAGCCAAAGCUACCAAAGGGAAAAAAAUGCCAUUCCUGUAUUGCUUGAGGUAUCUGACCUUUCCCAACACGGGGGCAUGUCAUUGCACUCUUUUCUUUCUCAACAGUUUCCCCAACGGGAUUCGCCUAAAAAAGAUCCAUACGUUCCGUGACAUUUCAGCCUAUAAGCCGGUUGAAAAGCUGAAACGGCUGAUUUGUUGUGAGAGUAAAACACUGUUUGGAGGCUCAUAAGCCGGCUGAAUAAGCUGAAGCGAACAUGUCCCAAACGACAUCGUACGAAACACCCUAUGACACGUGGGUCCCAGUGGUUUAGGACGAUUGAUGGAGAACGCAAGUAUUUUAUUCAGGUGAGCGGUCAACGCCUCUCUUCAGUGGAGCACAUCCCAGACCUGGCUGGGUCCCAGCAGCCAGCACCCCAAGCGGCUGUCGGCUGGUUAUGUGUUGCUUGCUUGUUGAUCUUCCCUCGUCGGAUCAACGCAUGAUGAGCGAGGCCUCUCCAAUGUGCGCUCCUAUACGCGUUGGACCCGCUCCCAUACAUUGCGAGGUCGCUCCUAUCUGGAGGAGACAAAGAACCUGCAACCUCCAACUUUCUCUCCCCUAUCAUUGCUGCUCCCACCGAACCUGCGUGGCGGAGCCGUCGGAAUUGCUCCUGGGCGCCAUCGUCGAUCUCUGGCGCGCCGGCUGCAUCUUCGUCUGAGAUGCCAUCUUCAGAGCCGCGCCGAGGUCGAGCAGGUCCACAAGAUCUUCAGGCGGCUCGCCACCCUCGACCCCGCCGCUGGCCUCGACGCUCCAUGCUCGAGCCGCUGCAGAAGGUCGGAGAAGCCACCAAGAGGAAGUAGCAGCGACCUGGCCGUCGUUGGCCGCCUCCUCUUCCCCUUCCGGGGCGCCGGCUACAUCUUCGUCGAGAUGCACGAGGGCCGCACCAAGCUCGAGCUCUCCGGAUCUGAUGACCGCACGACACACGGAGAUGAGCCCACAGGAGAAGUGCGGAUGUCUCGCAGCCAGCCAUCUCCUCCAAAUCUAGCACCGUGCACUUCACAUAUGGCAACUGGGGGCUUCAAUUUGCAUGGAAUGGGAAUUUGUGAGGAAGCGUUGAGAAGGAUUGGAAAUAUCAGAGGUCAGAGAAAGGACGGUAUUCCGCGGACGCAUGCUGGUGGAAGAUGAAGAAGUCAGGGGAGGAACGGGUUGUUGGAAGGAGCCGAAUUUUUUAUUUACUAGCCGAAGUUAGGGUUGAUUGGAUAUUAGGUGUUAAACUUUAACAGUGUCACAUCGUAUGUUCGGAUACUAAUUAGGAGGACUAAAUAUGAGUUAAUCAUAAAACUAAUUGCAGAACCCUGUGCUAAUUCGCGGGAUGAAUCUAUUAAACCUAAUUAAUCCGUUAUUAGCAAAUGGUUACUGUAGCACCACAUUAUCAAAUUAUUGACUAAUUAGGUUUAAUAGAUUUGUCUCGCGAAUUAGACUCCAUCUGUGCAAUUAGUUUUGUAAUUAGUCUAUGUUUAAUACUCUAAUUAACAUCUAAACAUCCGAUACGAUAGGUGCUAAAUUUUAGUGGGGUAUAUCCAAACACCCCUAAGCCGGUUCUAGGACCAGGGUCACUCGAGCACCGAACAUCACUCAUCCUGUGGAAAAGAAAAGGUGCUCAAAAUCACGUCACCAUACCGUCGAUAGAGUUGACACAUAUGCGCAAACAAUCAGGUUGCCACGAGGCAUCCGCGGAUGCUUCCAACUGCAUGCCAGCUCCUAGGUUUGGCGCCUCUUGCAAAAACUCACGGUUUUUCGGUUUUUGCGGGGCGGCGGGGCGGCACUGGGGCAGGCAGGGCUUGUUUGUUGGAGUCGGACAACCUGAGAAAAAAUUGGAGAGCAGCGUGAAAAGUUGAUGGUUUUUGGUAAGUACGGAGAAAGCAUAUUUGGUUGGUGGCUAAGCUUGAGAUGCUAAUAAGAAGAAAAAUACACAAUAUAAAUGUGUUUUCUGAUACGUAUAAAUAUAUUUUCUUAUUCACGGACAUAUAUUAUUUAGCACACUUUCUCAUUUACUUACAUUGUAGAAGAAAAAAAAUUAAUAAAAGAAUUUGAGUAUGUAAACACGAUGAAACGAAGUUUUUUAAAACUGUUACAAUUAUUUUGUUAAGUGAAGCUUCCACUAUUUGCAAUGUGUUAAGCAGUAAAAGUAGUGAACCAACCGAGCCAUAAUAUUGUGGGAUCCAGCUUUUUUUUUUGUAAUUAUCCACCUUUGUCUGAAUGCUUAGCACUCGAUUAGCAGUCAAGCAGAGUCAUUCCCAGCCAGGUGCUCAUUUUCGAUUGCCUGGGCCUAAGUUUGUUGCCUGAACCAGGCAGUUGAUCAGGACAGCAUCCAAACAGGUGCCAGGCAAAUUACCCUCCACCCAGGCAAAUUCACUUAAGGUCACAACCAAACAGCCCCGCAGUGCUGCUUCGUUUAGCUGUGGUUCGUCAGUCAGGAUUCAGAAGUGACGGUGUGCGAGCAGAGUGGCCAGCGGCUGCAACGUUUUCUAGUGCUGUUCAUGUUCUCUUGGACUAGUACGAGUGAUCUUUUUGAGGCCUGCGCUGAGUGGUGGGGGCUGACUUUGUGGCUUCUGCGAGACGCUUGGGUCGCAGGCCAACCGGUUUAGGGUUUACAUGCGCGUAUAAACAAGGAACGAUCUCCAAUCAGUCAACUCAUCACAAUGGAAAUCUGUACAUUGUCAAUGCAUAUGGACACACAAAACCAGCAGUAAUUCCUUGUUCUGAGCUUUCUUGCCCUGAAUGAGUGAAGGCUUAUACUACGAUCAUGCACAAGCACAAAUGCACGACAGAGGAGGAGGAGCAGGUAUGUUGUAAAAUUGCCAACCUGGCUCCGUUUUGGGGGUCUUUCGGCGAAGAACAGAGCAGAGCAGGGUUUUUUCCCCCCUGAUUGGUGGGUUCAGUUUGCCGGGAGCGUAGGCCUGCACUUUGAGAGACAACAUAGACAGCGUCGCAUCCACCGUAAGUUGUUGGAGAACCAAACAAGGAAUCGUCUGCAUGGACCCCUUUUCGCAGGCCGUGUGCGGUGUGCCCCCAAGUGUCGGAUGCAACAAGUGCUCGCUGAGGCAACGCACACUGCAUGCACGCUAAGCUGGCGCCAAGCAAAGCAAGAGAAUCCGACCUGCCACAGCUACCGGUAUGUGUCUAUCCUGAUCUUGCGCUUGCUGGGUGAAUACACAAGCCCCAAAUGCCCGGCGCCUCCAAAAACAUAAACAGCCCAAGCACGAAUCCGCGGACGAUGACGGAUCACGGCGACAACGACAUGAAAUGAGCCGCAGUGUGCGGGCGAUGGAGACGGCCGGUGCUAACGGCUAGUGGCUGCCGGCCGCCGGUAGCACGCCGCGGUGCCUAGCGCGCUGGCAUGCGCUUGAUUUUGGCGGCGGCUCGGCGCCGAGAUGCUGCAGGAUGCGCAUCAAUGUUCAGUGCCAUGGCACGACUCGAUUGCUAGUGCCGGUUCAGCGCUCUGCUCUGGUGUGCUAGAGUAAUAGCCGCCCUGAGCUGCGCCGCCCGAGCGCCGAAGCCGCCGGCGGCUGCCACUUGGCGAGUCGGCGUGCCGGGAAUUCCAUAGAUUUUCCCGAUGGAAAACUGGCCAUACGCACCCACGGGGAGAAAUCCUCGUUCCGUUAGCCCGCGGGCACAGGUAAUAAAAAGGGCAGAAACGAAGGAAAAGUAGAUAACGCAGGGAGGGCGGCGCCGGCGCGCGCGCCGUGACUUGGAGAGAUUGUGGUGGCUGUUUCAACUCCAACCUGUGUUACGGUGUUACCUCAACGGUCAUCGAUUACGUAGACCUCUGCCCGCAGCAAACGAAAGGAGGAUGGACACGCUGCGGACGGCCCGGCCGUCUGAAUUACGGGCGAACUACGCAGGCAGGCGAAGUCAAAGGCCAUGUUCAUUCCGGCUGCAGAUUCACCCAAUUAGGACAUGUUUGGAUCCAUGGGUAAAAUUUUAGUUGUGCACUUUUACCUCAUUUUUUUAGCUCUGGGAAUCCAAACAGGUGGCUAAAGAGAGUAAAUAGUUAAAAUUUGGAUAAAAAAUGUUGCUCCCAAAGAGGUCCUAAGAGGAGCUAAAAGUGCUCCCGGAUGCCAUUAUUCCCCUGUUGUCCCCCUCCCCGCACUCCUCUCUCUCCUCCCCGCGUCACCCCUGCUGCCCCGCCGCCUCCUGCCCGCUCUGCUACGCCGCCGUCGCGCUCCUGCCGCCCGUGCCCUCGCCGCUCCCAUCCGACGGAGCAAUCGGCGCCGGCUAGCCCGGACCAGCUCAGCCCCGCCGUGAGGUGAUCGGUGGACUGCGAGAGGGAGAGCGCCUCCGCCUCAGAUCCACCGAACAAGUCUCUGAGCCCAAUCUCCCCCCACCCAUGCGCCCGCCGACGAUGCUCCGCUGGGCCACGGUGGCGCUCGUGGCGACGCUCCUCGCCGCCACGCCGGCCACCGCCUUCUACCUCCGCGGCGGAUCUCGACAGCCAGAUCCAGCGUGCCGCGUGCGUUUGUUCGUUGGGAGCUGCCUGUGUCUAUCGAGUUAAUUGCAAUAAGGGUUCGGGAUCUAGACAUGCAUCCUGCUGGCUGUUUUGCUUCUGUGUGGAGUAGUGUGAUCUUACGAAUUGCAUUUGGCUAGGUCACUUGUUUCAAAUCUCUCUGUGUUGAAGAAAAAUGAAUAUCCUCUGAUCUAAGCGGCGACGAUAAAUGCUCUAUAGUGCGCCUUACGUUUGAUUAACGUUUGUCUAAUCGAAUAUGUGCUGUGAGUAUGCUACAGUAUACCCUCUUACAUUCAAAAUAUUCCGUUAUUUAUGUUUUUGUCCACUUGGUUCCGGAAGGCGAUUAUAUGAAAUCAUAUAGUAUAUGGAGUGCACGUGCACAUGCAUGGGGCAAAUCAAUCAUUGUUUGAUGAAAGACUAAAAUUUAGCCCAUAGAUCCAAACAGCUCAGUGGGACUAAAAUUUAAGAGCUAAAAUUUAGGAGCUAAAAUUUAACCCAUAAAUUACUGAUCCAAAUAAACACCGUCUUAGUGUACGAGAUGUACAUGUCCAAGAGACCACGACCAGUAGUUUAGUUCCGGUACGGUCGGGCGCUGUUUUGCAGGAGCCGAGUCACGUGCCACUUGCAAAUCUUUGCAUUCCAGAAUCCAGAGUCCAGAUAAGAUUAGACAGAGAGAAUUUAUCGUGCGCAGAGUUUUACAUUUCUCUCCGACUUGUUUUAUUUUAUCUGACCUGCAGGUAACAGUAAGACAGGAACUUAACAAAAAAAAAACAAGAAAGCAUUAGCACUAGCAAUGCAAGGACAACCGUGUCAACCUUGGCUUUCAUUGAUGUGCACUCACUACAUAUAGAAGCAACCAUACAUGCAACGGCAAUAUGUGGAUUAUGUAGUGGUUUCCAUUAGUUUUGUCGGCGAAAAGCUUGGUGCCAACAGACCUUACCCACCUUCGACAAGAUGCGGUGAACUAACCUGCAGCCUGCUGAGGGGCUGACUGAUCAUAACUCUAGUACUCUACCCGUCAACUUGCAAUCUUUUUUUAAUCGCCGUCGUUUCGUCGCUACUUCAUAUCCCAAUCGCAACUAGUAGCAAGUUGGAGGCUUUAAUUGCUUGUUUUCUCGCCGAAUUGGCAAAUCGUCUAUUUAAAUGGCGAGGGAAGCUGCCACAGGCAGACGCCAGAAAACCGUCUGGUGACCACGAUUCACGAUGGCGCACCAUUUUAUCAGCAGUUCAGCACGCCACGCAGCCACCCGUGAUCCACCAGUGACGACACCAUGCCGCUACCCGGUGUUGGCCCAAGUCCAUCAAACGGAGAGGGACCCAGAGCAAGGCCCAUUUUUCUUUUGCUGGGCCUCAUAGAGCUGUACCAUGUCCUGCUUAUUUUACAUUCGGUGGUGGAUAUUUUAGCCCCAAAGUGCCAGGCCAAAACUCGCAACAAAAGCGUCGUAUAAGCCAUCCCCCCUGGCCCUCUCUGAUGAACAGCUGCUGGGCUCCAUGGGCAAACAGGAGCCAUGCCAACUCCGGCGAGGCAUGACUUUUAACUCGGAACAGUGCGGUCGACGCGACGCAUUUCCUUCCGGCCACUGUGCUCCUGCAUAAAGGCAAGCGGUUGUGAUGCGUGACCCAACAGGCACGAACUAUAGCCAAGAGGGGCGCCCCCCGCGCACACAUGAAGGGCAUCGAUCACACACUGAGCACGAACAGUGCCAUGUAUAAUUGGCCAGGCUGAACUGUCAAAGGAAGUGCUAAUAAGAGGUGCCUGCAAAGUCCUAUCUCGUAACAUGCUAGCUUUGUACGUGAUGUCCUUGACAAACCCAUAUGGAAGGCUGUCUGAACAUAAUGUUGCAUUGUGUGUGUCCAACUGUCUACGCUGCGUCUCUCUUGAGACCAGGCCCCGGCCUAUCUCGCUUAACUUGCAUUGGGGGCAAAAUUCAGAAAAGGAAAAACGAGCAAUGAUGCAUGGUCCCGGAGAAACAAACGAUCGUGCAUGCGGCUCGCGUCUGAACAUAUGUAGUGAGCAGUGAGCUGAUGAGGUAUGGAGCGAAGAAAAAGGUUGCUGGAUGCCGUGUGCUACGGAGAAAUGUCUAGUUCUGCUUGUCAAGAAUUGGUCACCUCUCUCUCUCUCCAUCGAUCAAGCCAUCACGAGGAUCAAAACUAUACGCGCCAUACCAAAUUGCUAAAAAAAAUACUCGCAAAAAAAAAGCUAAAAAAAUGGCAUAUUUUUUGGUCAAGGAAUAAUACGCAUUUGGACGGAGAAGAGAGAUUCUCUGUGUGUGUGCCUCCAGUUUCAUCCUUCGUUUCAGAAAAAAGUAAAGAUUCUGUGCAGUAAUGAGUGUUCCCGGUUUCCUGGGUUAGUCUCUGGUCGUCUGCAUGACGUCGUGGCUGGGAGACAGAGACCAUGCCCCUAGCGACGACUACAUCACUACACCCAUGCGGCCAUGCCUACGUGAAAGAAUUCACCCAGGAAACGUAACAGUAUACAGGAAUAUACUGGACAUAUAUAGGAGGGUUUCGAAUAAGGAAAUGUUUAUACACAACCUACACAAAUCGACACGCCCUCAUCCAUGGACCUGACGUGCACUUCAUAUCUACUACUACUAGGUCAUAUCUGUACGUGCGUAUCGAUCGCUUUCGAUCUCCACGCUUUAUCUCCAAUCAACAAGUCAGAUCACGAGUGGUGUUAUAGCUCUCUGGUAGCCGCGCGGCAGUGAUGUAUAUUCAACACAACGAAGGGCGAGACGUCACAGCAUGCCAGGUCGCGCAAAUUCAGCCCAGGAAAUGAGGGAUCUGGCCCCUGUCACGAGCCUCCUGUAUGGAACUCCAGCCAGGUCGCCAGGAGGCACCGAGGUAGGAGUAGGCUAUACCGGUAGGCGGUAGAGAUCAAGAGCAGCCAGUCUUUAACCAAUUGCUAGGCAUCGAUAGAUUCCCGGGAUCACCGAUUCUCGCUCGAUCGCUCUGCAACACACAGCAACGCGCGCCUUCUCUACCCGGGAAAUGGCAUACGUAUAUACAGUACAUAUGCAAUUUCUACAAAGUCGACUGUGUGUACCAGUACUAGUCCAGUACUGCUACAUGUGCGUGCUUAAUUAUCGUCACAUGUUGGACUAGCUUUAUUAGUUCGAAAUUAGUUUAAUGCUUUACCUAAAGUAUAAUGAGGGGGCUAUAUGGAAAUAAAGUGAGGAGAUAUUAUUUGGAAGUACUCCCUUCCGUUUCUAAACAUAUGACGUCAAGAUAAGCUAAUAUGAUUGCCUUGUCCCAAACAUCAUCCGAGGGAGUAAUAAAAAAAAAAAAUACUACCACAAGUCAUCCACGCAUUGAAUCAUAUUUACUACUAUCUAUAUCUAUUUUUGAGAGGCACUAAGCAAAAUUUCUUGAAACCACUAAUUCAUUUCUUUUUAGUUCCCUAUUUGUUCUGAAAUAUACAGUAAAAUGUUCUGCAUGCCAUUUUAAAUCAUCCUAUAUUUUUCUAAGUUUGACUUAAAUUAAUGUAUUUUUUAAUAUUUCAAAAGUACCAUCUUUAGAAUGUUAAUUUAUGAACUUCACCAACUGUAGGAAAAAAUAAAUUUAUUCGACUACUACAAUAGAAUUAAGACCUCAUAAUUUUGAUCCUUUACAAAUAAUAUUUUCGCAAAAGCUCCAAAAAUUAGGUCAUCAUGUUCUAGCCCUGCAUCACCAUACGCUCGUUCAUAAUCAUAAUAUGGUUUUAUUUAGUCUUGUUUUCUUGUCAAAUAUGGAUGACCUUACGCUAAAGGGCAUUUUGCUCUAUGAGCUAAGCGUGGCUCCAUUCAGUUAUUUAUGUUCUUCAUGGUUGAACCUAUGUCGUCUAAUUAUUUUUUAUGGUAUGUGAUGUGCUCACUGACGGUGAGGCACAUUUCGAUCCCAAAAAUCUUCCUACAAUCUUCCUACGUAGUGAGUGAACUUCACUGCCACUUUUUUGGUCCCACUUCGCGCACCCUCCACUUGCUUUCCAGGGCUCUAGUUAUAUGUCCCGGCCUAACACUAACCCAUCACAUUGAGUUGCUCCUGUUGUGACACUUCCCACCUCGGUCGGUGCCUUGGUCGCACCCCCACUGUCUUAUUGGUGACAGCCCCAUUCAUCCAUCUACAUCCCUCUCGUAUCCUAAUAAACACCGUCAAUCCACCACCUUAACCUCAAAGUCCAUGACUCUAAACCGCUAGGGAAAUCUAAUCUCACCAGAGAUGCCAAGAUGGGCAAGUAGAACAUGACAGAUCUUGGCGUAGUCAAAAUAGGAUGGAGGAGGAGGAGGAAAGAAGGUUCAGUUGUCAAACGGAGGAGAAAUUUCAUGGUGCUAUUGUUUAGCUUUCCCUUGCUAAUAAUAAGCCACCAAUUUCCUUGUACCAAACCUUGAAGAAAUUAGAUAUCUUGACGUGCCAUUCCCUACAUGCAUAAAAUCUUGGGAGGAUUCAGAACUCUACAGGGCGUGCAAUUGUGCUGACUACUACUGCUGACAGAAAAGUAGAUGUAGAUACAUCUAUGCGCAGCAACGCCGUACCCGUCAUCAAGUAGCUUUAUUUCCAUGUAGACCCAGCUGUACUCGCGAGAUGUACAGUACCAGUACGCAUACACGAUUGGCCAUUCGCUGGAGUAGCUUUAGCAGGGCCCACGCUAAUCGUGCACGAAAGGAACUGGACUACUGGAGUUAAUUUCCGGCGACGCCGUACCCGUGCAAGCGGGAGAGAAAGAUCAGGAUUCAGGAGGAGGGGGUUGUGGUAGCCUGGUAGGAAAAGGGACGCACGUCUGGGCAAUCCAAACCCGAUCGCCUAUGCGCCUGCCUAGUCUACUCCGUAGUUUCAGCUCCCAUCAAGUCUUGGCGCCCCUCAUUGGAUUUGGACUCGGCCACUUGGGGGCAACGCUUGCUUUUUUGAGACGCCAGGCCACCCACCCAGAAAUAUCUAGACCCUUUCCUCUCCCGGGCCGCAUCGCCCGUCGCCCCGGCAAUUUGCUGAUUUGCCUCGCUACAACCUUUGCCGCUCGUUUGCAACAAAUCUGUAUGCGAUCUAGACUUUCCCCAUUUGCUCUCGGCGCCCCUUUUCUCGAUCGGCGGUGGACUAGGACUCCUCACCGUGCCGCAUGCCCCUGCAACCAAUCUUUUGCUUGGAUUUGGUCCGGCCAUUCAGGGCACGAUUCAAAGCGCCCCGGCCGGCAUUUGGAGAUGCCGGAGCGGGGCGUGCGCAGCGCGAAGGAAUAUUGACGCUUUUUGGGGUGCGGAGGCCGCAGGCAGGCACCAGGCAGCAUGGGAGCCUGUGGUGGCAACGCAACACGCAAGGCAAGGGGAUGGGAAUUGGGGAGGACGAUGCGUGGCGCGCGCUUGCCACAACCGGUCGCAUUCGCGUUUCCCGUUCUGGCCGGGGCCGGGGAACCGGCCGGCGCGGCCAGAUCGCUAUGCAGAGCGUGCUUUGUUGGUGCUCGCGCUCGCGGGCGCCUAGCCGCCUAGGACGAUGACGGCUGCCGGUGUUCGUUGUUCGUGAUUUGUAUUCGUGUGCCGGGUGUGCAAUCAUGCCUCGCCCUCCCAAUUCUGAUCAAACGGCACAGAGUCGCCUAAAGAAACUACUCUGUCGCGAGAUUAUAUACAUCGGUAGUGUGCGUACCACGUACCGGCAUCAUAUAUGUAUGCAUGGUACAUUAGGGCACUGUGCGCGUUGUUCGGCCGGUGCAAAAAUUGUUCAGCCACAGCCACGGCUGCCUCACCAAGCUAGCCUAGCCCUGCCACAAAGCUGGGGGCGGGCGCGUACCCGGUAAAUGCGCGUGUGUCAGCGAGGGCUCGCGAUGGAGUGGCAGUACCACGGAAGAGACAACCAAUGCCGGCCUCGCCCGCCCGCGCAUGCAUCAGCCUAGGCUGCGCGCCGUGGAUGGACGAGGACAUGAGAACCUGAGAGGCCUCCCGUCUCCUGCGCCCUAGUAGCAGUACGAGCUAGAGCGCGGGUGCCAGCGCCCAGCGGGAGUUUAUGGCCGGAACCGCGGCCUCUCCCUCGCUCGCUCAUCAGUCGCUCGGUUGCAGGGUGACCGGCGAGGAAAAUCCGCGUACGGCCGCCGCGUAUCCCGAUGCGCGCGCUCCCCUGGCUCGGCACGAUCAGGUGGAACCCCACCUGGUGGCUGCCGGGCGCUGGCACGGUCGCAUGGAUGAUGGAUGGAUGCUUGGCCUGGCCCAGUGGAAGGGAAGAGACGGUGGUUGGAGGAGGGAAGGAGCGUGGGCGAUCGAAGCGGGCGAGGACAAGGAUGAAAAUGGGCUGGUUUCAUGACUCCCGUGACAGGAAUGCGCGCCAGUCCACAGCCGACACGUAGCUCAGCCUACGGUGGUGUCUCGCCUAGGACGUACACCCUCCACCACUCUCUUUAUCUCUCUGGCCUGUACUGUGUUUGACAUGGCUCCCGCUCCUCCUCCCGUUGAUGAGUGUGAGUCCUUGGUGGUGUGACUGCUGGAUCCUUGAAGUAUCAGAAAAAGCUGCUCUUACGACCAGUUUAUUUAAACAAUGGAAGAGACUUACGACCAGUUUAGAAUCUUCGCCGGGGAAAGAAAACGAUGGCUAAGGCGGUGUUUGGAUACACCCUCAUAAACUUUAACUUAGUACCUGUCACAUCGGAUGUUUAAAUACUAAUUAGGAGUAUUAAAUAUAGUCUAAUUACAAAACUAAUUGCACAGAUGGAGUCUAAUUCGUGAGACGAAUCUAUUAAGCCUAAUUAGUCCAUAAUUUGACAAUGUGGUGCUACAGUAACCAUUUACUAAUGAUGGAUUAAUUAGGCUUAAUAGAUUCGUCUCGUGAAUUACUAUAGGGGUUCUGCAAUUAGUUUUAUAAUUAGCUCAUGUUUAGCCCUUCGAAUUAGUGUCCGAACAUCCGAUGUGACCCUCCUAAAAUUUAGCACCUCGUAUCCAAACACUCCCUAAAGUUUGGCAGAAUAAUUUGGCUUGGACACGUUCACAUUCUAUCAGUCAUACACAAACGUGUACCAGAUCAGUUGAAUGGUUUUCUCCUUGAGAAAUGAAAAGAAUAAAUAUUAAGAGCUAGUCGUAUUUUUUUCGUUGAGAUUUAAAGAUCAAAUAAAGAGUGAAACAAAUUAAAGAAAAGAAAAAACAGUUCCCUGAAGAAUUAAGGAAACCGCCCAUCUACCCAAACAGGGGUGAAGCCACGUUCAGCUUCCCUUGUGCCCAUGCACCAGGGUCAGAAAUUUUUGUCCACUAAUUAGGCUCGAAAUCACCGUACAAAUCAAGCAAAUUAUGAAAGUUCCUUGAGCAGUUUUAGGCCUAGCUUCGCCCCUUAUCCAAACACACUCAACAAGUGGUGGUAUAAAUGAAAAUUCCCCGUAGAACUUUAUGUUAUCUUUACUAUUAUAAGAACUUGUCUCUUUCUGUUUAGUGCCGUACUUGUACAAUUUAUAUUUCAAAUGUAAAAGAACAAAAAAACCUAUUGGCCUCCUGAUUAUCGUGCUGUUGCUCAGGCCAAUGCAAUUCAUUGAAUAACUCUGUUUAAACUUGCAUUGCAGUACUUCGAGAAAAUAACUUGCAUUGGCAGUAGCACCACAAAAAUAAAUCGUAAGAUAUGAGUUGUGGUAUGCUGGCCAACCCACCCAUAUAGCAUAAAAGCAUACUAGUACCAUAUUUUUGCGGAUAAUUAAUUGAUAACAAUUUUAAGAUUUUACAUUCCACUGAUAUGACCCAAACAGACGUACACAUUCUUUUCAUCUCCAAAAAGUUUUUUUUUUGGAAAUUGUGUUCUCCUUCUUGCACUAUUGGACAAUUGAUCUUUAGCACCGAUCAGUAACCCCCUUAGUACCGGGCACCUGACAGGUACCGCUUGGUUAGUCUUAAAUGGCGUGCCGGUACUAAAUGCGCCAUUUAGUACCGGUCGGUAGUACCAACCGAUACUAAAAUGCGAGCUACGUCACGCUGUUGUGGAAGACAGUUUAGUACCGGUUGGUUUUAUUAACCAGUACUAAAUGGUUAUUCCUUUUCUUUUUUUUUCCUUUCAUUUUAAUUCGUAUUCAUAUUCCUGUACAAUAUUUGUUUGCGUAUAGUAGUAAUAUUACGCUAAUAUAUAUUAAUCUAGCAUAAUAAAGGUUACAUAUAUUAUAUUUAUACAAUUUAUAUACACUUUAAAAGUUACAAGUAUUCCGAAUAUGCACUACAUGUCGUCAUCUGAGUCCCUGAUUGGAUGAAGUUGACCCACACUUGUUCCAUCGUAAUAAAAUUCUCCCUUUGGAUUUAUGACCUCCUCCAAAAGGAAUCCACAUAGUUGUUCCUAAAUUGCCCUGAGUCAUUCUGGGGCGAUGAGUUCUUCUCUCAUUUCAGAAAUCUGUCACGUGCAAAUUAACAUCAUCAUUUUAAACAAAUAUAUGUGUAGAGUGAAAAAGUUACGAAUUGUGUCUACGCACUUUGUAUUCUUGGGUCGUAGUUUUCUUAGGACCUACAAAGCUGUAGAUUAACUCACAACAGUAGUAUCCGCAUAAGUUGUUUCCAUCCUCCUAUCUCAAAUACUAAAUAUGGAAAAAGGAGUUAUGAAAUAUUCAAGCAGUUGUGAUUUUUAAAUAAAUGACACUAGAUGUUCAAAUUGAACUCAUACCGGAAAGUUAUCCUUGAUAUGAAGUUGUUCCUUGAACUGUCCUGUGUGUUUUUUAUGAAGCAAACCCAUACCCUGUUAAGCACGUCUAUGAGGCUUUGGUACGUACUCUGCUUUUUGUCUCUUCUUCAGGUCCAGCACCGUGACGUGGCUUCAAUCAAUCUCGAUGGCAAGCAAUAUCCAGUGGAAGCUGUUCAUAUACAUAUACACAAGCAAUGUUAGAUAUACUUAUUAUUAACUUGAACGGAUGAAAAAAAGGAUGAAUGACUCACUUAAAGUUGUAUGACAAAAGUAUGAAUUUCAUGUGAUGCUGCUUAUCGAGGAAGUUGAAAAUAGUCUUCAUGGUCCUAUUUGGCCAUUUCAGUAAGCAUUCCUCAUUUAUAACAUGCGGGUCCAUGAAGCCGACAUGAUAGAUAGUUUUUCUCCAGCAAUGUUGAAUCUCCAUUCUGCAUGAUACAAAAUAAAAGAGGAGAUGAGACGACACACAAUUAAUGUAGGAGUUAGGAUGUAGAAAUCAAAGCAAACACUUACAUAACCCAUGCACUAAUGAGGGACUUGUCAAGGGCGUCUUGAUGGUACAAGUAAUGAAGACUUUCAAACUCAAUCCAUAUAUCAUCUGGCCCUCGAAAGUAAUCACGAUCUUGAACUCGAGCAGCGAACAUGAUCCGUCUAUCUGCAGCUGCCUCCAUGUACCAUUUAUGAAAUGCAUACAUUUUUGUUGGCAGGUGAGGCACCAAUUGUGGCCGCACAAGAGGUUCCCCCAACUUAAACUCCUAUUUACCAGCACCUGGGUGAGUUUUGAUAUCGUCCCCCCUUAGGAGUUGCUCUUUUGUGAGAUUGGUCUCAACAAUCCAUUGAGCUAGAAUCUCAUCUUCUUUUGAAAGCACUUUGAGCGGAUUGAUCGAUUGUUGAGAUUGUUCUCCGAGCUGGGGAAUGGUGGACCGUGAUCAUUUUUUCUUCUCAAAUGACUUUGUGAUUGAGCGGUCAUAGUCUGAGAUGGGUUCUUUCACCACUUUUUUAACCACCAGGGAUUUAAAGUAUUUCUUCGUUGCUUCAUCAAUUGGUGGUUCCUCGAGUGUCUUCUUUGGCCCGAAGUGAGCAUCAGCCUCAACCAUAGAUAUCGCAUGACUUUCCUCCAUAGUUCGUUCAUAUGGAAGCUUCGGAGGUGGAGGCUUUGCUUUCUUAGGAGGUGGGUUCUUCUUCUGCUUCGGAGGUGGCGGGACCAAAGCCUUCGAGUUUUUCUUCUUAGGAAGUGGAGGCUGAGAUAACGCUGGACUCAUGCUUUGGUCCCUUGUAGCUAGUGGGGAUGAUGGAUUCAUGCUUUGGUCCCUUGGAGCAGGUGCAUCCCUGGAUGGUGGCGUUGGUGAUUUUUGCCUUGAGAUCUAAGGGGAUGAUGCGAGAACUGUGGCUGCUUGCAGAAACCUUAUGUAGCGCUUGGCCCAACAAAUCCAAGUGUGGAUGGCGUGUCCCAGUUUUGUUUCACCAUCGCUACCAGGGAUCUUGUGGUCCAGGUCUUCCCAUCCUGUUUCCACUCAGUCAACCUGGACUCUAGCAUAUCCUUCAGGAAUCUGCAUGCCAUGAAUCGUCCCGCCUGGUACCGGUACUUUAGCAAUACCGUGAGCCACUACUUUGACCAUUUUUCUCACCGGAGUAAGAAGCUCAUAUGGGGUCCUCACAGUGAUGUCAUCCACAGGGUAGUGUUGGUUGUUGUCCGCAACCAUGUCAGACGAUUCCUCUACUGCUUGGAACUCCGUGGAAGCGAUGCUGCUAUGACGCUGGGAAGCGGGUCUUAUUAUGUCCACAUUAGCACCUGAUGCAGCUCCUACUUGGCUAAGUGCUAACGCCUCUUGAAGCGGAUCCAUUCUUUCAUUAGUUGAAGCUACUUGUUCUUCUAGGAUACGCAGCUUCUCUUGCUGCGGCCUUGCUUCUUCUUCGACUUCUGUAAGACUCGAUAUCUUCACUAAAGCCUUUUCUUCCAUGGAACUACACCCAUGCCUCGGACAUGUCCAGUGUGUUCCGGAUUCCCAUGUGCAUAAGUCAGCUUGUCUUUCUCUUUGUUAGGCUUGACAUUUCCUUGCCUUUUAGCCUUUAGUGCAGCUUGCAACCUGGUGAAUUCUGCUAUUAUUGAAUCGGUAGUAAUAAAUGAUCCAUCUUCCCUAUUUAGUGUGCCGCCAUGAGUGUAGAAAAAGUUCUUUGCUUGCAAUGGCCAAUCGAGAGUUGCCUGCACGAUUCCUAUUGCCAUUAGGUCAUCUUCCAUCCUUUGCCCUUUCGGCAUCGUCGUCUUAUAACCUCCUUGGCCAAGAUGAUGAUAAUGUUUCUUUUUGCUUGCAUUAUCUUUAGCCUUUAGAGCUCGUGUUUUAACAUCUUUCGACAACUUGUAUUGCUUGAAUGCUUCCCAAUAAGGUGCAAGCUUCUGAAACUUGUUCUCCAAAUCUGGUUUGAUGCCCUUCUUGAUAAAGUCUUUGUGCAAGUUUUUCUUGUACGUCUAGAAAGCAAUUGCCAUCUUCCUAAAGGCAAAUUCCUUCAGUUCUUUUGCUUUCACUUCUAGAUAUGUGAAGUGCAGUAUCAACUAUUGCCAACACAAUUCCUUCUCUCGCUUAGGGAUGAGGUCUUCAGGUGCAUCAGUAAGUGCGGUUGCUCUCCAUUUUAAAUGCUUAUGGGAAUGUUUUCCCGAACAACAUACCCACAUUGAUUGACAAAUGUCGUUAACACAUGAGGGGAGCAAUUGGUGCACCUUCCUCGUCCACUUCUUUGAUGAUGGUACGCCCCUCCAACUUUUCUUUCCCGCCUCGUUUCUGUUUAGGCCUCAUCGAAGAUGCAGAUGGCUACAAAAAAGAUGCAUUAAUUAUAACCAUUGUUGAUAGGUAGAAAUUUGAAAUCAUGUACAUGUAUAUUGGGAUUCAUAUACCUCAGCAAUUUCUUCCUCCUCUUUAACUGGAGCAUCAUCACCUUCAUUACCAGUCAUAUUUAGGUAUUGGCUGCCAUCAUCCUCUUUGCUUGAAGCAUCAUCUACUUCUGUGUUGUAGUUGCUGGCUUCAUUACUAGUAUUUUGAAUAAACUCCUCUUCGUCCCUGUCUCCCAUUUUGACUAGUAAAAGAUAAAACAAGGUAUUUAGAAAGUAAUUCUAAAUAAAUAAUUUCUUAAUGAUUUCUACCAAUUUCCUAUAUUUUGUAAUCGUUUUCUGUAUUAUUAUAUUCCAUAUUAACAAGUAAUUCUAACCAUUACUAAAAGAAAUAAUUAAAAAAGUAAUUAUAAAUAGAAUGAAACUAAAUUCAACAAAAUAAAUAAUUAUAGGCAUCAUGUAAGUAAGUUUCCAUGCCAUUUUCUAGUAAUCUCGAUGAUUUCUACCAAUUUCCUAUAUUUUUAUCUUCCAUAUUAACAAGUACAUUACUAAAAGAAAUAAUUAAGAAAGUAAUUGUAAAUUGAAUGAAACUAAAUUCAACAAAAAAAAAUAAUUCUAGGCAUCAUGUAAGUAAGUGUCCAUGCCAUUUUCUAAUAAUGUCAAUGGUUUCUACCAAUUCAUUAUUUAUUUUCUAAUUUCUAGUUGUUGAUGUCAUCAUAGGACUUGCUAACGUCAACAAUUGGGGUGGGGGGUUAGUGUCAGUGUUUUAGACCAACAACCCACCUAGGGAGUACCAAAGAUGGUCUUUUGUGUGGUGGGUGUCGUCGAGAAUCAAGAAGUCGAUGGUGAUGCAAGGAACACAAUUUAGAUAGGUUCGGGCCACUAGAUCGCGCAAUACCCUACGUCCUGUGUGUUGGUUGUAUUGAACUUGUGUCGAGUUGCACUUGUUGUGUUGUGAGCUUAGGUGAGCUGCCAAUCUAGGUAUUCCUGCCCUCCUUUAUAUACUACAGGGGGCAGGAGAACUAGUUGGAUUACAAGGAGGAGUCCUAGUAGGAGUACUCGGUAUGAGUCCUAGUCGGAUUAUAGGGAAAUCCUAGUAGGACUUUGACUUCUUCGUUCCUUACGGGUAUUGGGGAUCUAUCCCCGUCAAACCCCCGAGCGCUUCCUAGUUGAAUGCAGUAGUCUUCGAGUAGUCUUAAGAUAUUCGGCGAGUAGUCUUGGUGCUCUUUGAGUACUCCGUCUGAAUCUUCAAAGUUUCUCAAGGCUGCCAUGAGGCUAUGGUGUGCUCAAAGCCUUUGAUCAUCUUGAUAUGGUAGUCUUCAUAUAUGGAGCGCGGCGAAAGUCGCACUCCAUAUGGAGUAGCCCUCGAGACUUAGGUUGAAUCGAAGAAUCAGGCUGAGGGUCAAAAUCUUGAAUCUUCUUCUUUCGUCUUGAAAGAAAUAUUGGGUGUAGCUUAUCAGCCCCCGAGCCUUGAAUUGAUUGAGUAAUCAACUCAAGGAUCUUGAAUCUUGACUCAGGUCAUUAUCUGAGUAGUCUCGCGGUGACCAGCCCCCGAGCUUAUGCGCUAGGUGAGCCGUAGGAGCCUCGUCGAGUAGUUAUUGACACUUAGCCCCCGAAGCUUGGAAGCUAGUUGAGCCAUUGGAGAUAUUUCGAGUAGUGAUUGGCGCUUAGUCCCCAAACCUGGGAACUAAUCUGUGCCUUUGGAGGUACGCUUAGCAUCAUCGCUGAAGCUCAAUCUGAAAGAAAAGAUGCAUACAUUAUGUAGCAUUUUUGUAGGAUAUUGAAACUGCUGAAAUUUAUUCAGUCAUCAAUAUGAAAGUUGUGUGUCAUGCUCUUGUUUGGGUCAUAUUCUUCCCGAGUGGUUAGCCUGUUACGCUUAGGCUCUCAGUCUCCGUGUAGCCGUUGCCACUGCGUGUGUGAGAUCUUUGUCUCAGAUACGCGUAUGGGCUUAGGCGUGAUAGAUGCGCCUGAGGCUUUCACGAGUUAAGGUGUAUUCUGCUCGAGAAGAGUAGUGACCUUAAGAGAAGACAAAAGUGAGUAGUCGCUAUUUUGAUAAAAAGAGAGUGCGAUUGCGCACAAGAGUUUGCUGCCCUCCGGCGAGUAGAGCGCGUGUUGUGCGCGAGAGUUCGGCGAGUAGAACAUGUGUGGUGUGCAAGAGUUUGCUGCCCUCCAGCAAGUAGAGCGCGCGUUGUACGCAAGAGGAAAGCAAGCUAGAAAAUAGUUGGAAAAGAGACUUAGCUUGAUUCGUGGACGAUUGUUGACAAAGCCGUGGUGGUCAUUGAUGAAGCCAACUAGCCGGAGUUGAUUCCGACUAGUUGUCGAGGGUGCGAGACCCGCCCUAGACUAGUUUUCUAGUCGAGAUGGGGAGUCGAAGUUGUCGUCGAUGAAGCCGCGACAGUUGCUGGUGAAGCUGGUUAGUUGGAGUCAAUUCCGACUAGUUGUCGACGGUGCGAAUUCUUUCCCGACUAGUUUUCUAGUCGAGACGAGUAGUCGAAAUAGUCGCCGGCGAGUCGCCUAUUGAAGUAGUCGUCGGCGAGCGUCCCGACAUAGUCGGAGUAGUUGUCUUUGACUAGUAACUAGUCGAGACAAUUAGUCGAAGUUGUCGCCAGAUAGUUGUGUCCGAGUUGUCAACUGACUCUAGUCCGGAUUGGACUUCGAGUAAGGAUUGCUUGAUGGACCGCAGUUGCAUUGCGGAGUCCGAACGGAACACGACUUGGAGUUGUAGUCGGUCUGCGCGAUGACUUGAUUGCCAGCUCACAUGGACUAAUCCGAGCUGUGGUCGAGUCUGAGUUGUAGUCGAACUCGGUGUUUGAACAGAUCGAAAUUGUUGAUUUUCUCGACAAGAUCUUCUCGUUCUUGUCAAAGAGAGUUUUCAUCGAGAUGCUUCUUCUCUUAGUUGUUGAUGAUGCAGCAUUGGAAGGAUCAAGCACCGUCAGCAAUGAAAAACCAGGAGCCGAAGACGAAGAUUGUGUCCGCUUCGAAAAGCGAACACCAGCUUGAUGAUGACUGGUGCCAUCGAUCUUGCGCGGAGAAACUCAGCGACUUCCCCUACUUGGCGCGCUAGCUGUCGGUGUUUUAGACCGGCAACCCGCCUAAGGAGUACCCAAGGUGGUCUUUUGUGUGGUGGGUGUCGUCGAGAAUCAAGGAGUCGAUGGUAACGCAAGGAACACGAUUUAGACAGGUUCGGGCUGCUAGAUCGCGUAAUACCCUACGUCCUGUGUGUUGGUUGUAUUGAACUUGUGUCGAGUUGGACUUGUUGCGUUGUGAGCUUAGGUGAGCUUCUGAUCUAGGUACUCCUACCCUCCUUUAUAUACUCCAGGGGGUAGGAGAACUAGUCAGAUUACAAGGAGGAAUCCUAGUAGGAGUACUCGGUAUGAGUCCUAGUCGGAUUAUAGGGGAAUCAUAGUAGGAGUCCGACUUCUUCCUUCCUUUCAGGUAAACUGGGGAUCUAUCCUUGUCAGUUAGGGGCUUACGUACGCAGAUGAAGGGCCGAGGGUGCGGUGGCGGGGGCGAAGGCCGGAGCGCGGAGUCCGCGAUGAGGGCAGAGGCGGUCAGGCCGGGGGCGGCUGGCGCACGGCGAGGACGGGGGGCGGCCGACUGGGGCGGAGUGGCGGUUGGUGUCAGGGAGUCUGGAAUGCUGUGGGGGCAGAGUGCACCGCGGUUCUGGGGGAGCUUCGGGUGCGGUCGGACGUCAAGAAUGUCGAGGAGGAGACGAGGCUGCGGUCAGUAAGGAAGGGGGGCUUUUGGCCGGGGCGGCGGAUGGUGCUGACUUUGAGGAAGAGCGCUCCGUGUAGCAGGGUGGAGUGCGCCGCGAUGCUGUGGAGCGCCGGGCGUGACCGAACGUCGAGGAGGAGCCAGGGCGGUGGGUGACGGUGGACGACGACGGUGGGGGCGGUGGAGUGGCGGUGGGAUCGGGAGAGUAACGACUACGCGGCUAAGUGUUGGAGAAGAAGAGGGGUGGAGUUUUUGUAGGUUAGGCUAGAUUAGUACCGAGCGGAGGCCUUGCUCGGUACAAAAUGACUUUUAGUACCGGGCAACGCAACUACCCGGUACUAAAUUGAUGCAUUUAGUACCAGGCAAGACCACUGCUCGGUACUAAUAUGGCCAAAAAGGUGGGAGGCAAAACUGGGGGGAAUUUAGUACCGGGCAAGGCCUCCGCCUGGUACUAAUCUUCCCCCAACGUUUCAUUUCCUGCUAAUAUUUUCUUUUGUUAUUUCUAAAAUUGCUGCUAUAUUUAUUUUCUAUUUAAUAAAUGGAGUAACUUAGGAAACAAAAUUGAAAAAACUUUCAUACCUUAUUGUUGACUAUCUCUAUACCAUACAACAAUUUAUUAUAUAGUGAAAAUAGAAAAUUUUGAUUACUAAUAGGAUAUGAAAUGUUUCCAUACUGCUAUUAAUCCAAGAAAAAGGAAAAAACUACUAUUUUGAACAUGCAAAAAUAUUAAGAAAUAAUAGCUAUAAUAAAUUUAACAAUUAUACCAUCAGUAUACGAUGUACUUGUGUAAUUGUCUCUAAUUUAAUGUUUGAAGACUUUUGAUGAUCCAAAAUAGUGCAAAUAUUUAAUAUUUUGACCAUGCAAAAAUAAUUUAUGAAUUUGUUUUUGUUUUAUUUGAUUAAAAUUGUACAAAUAGUAUCGUUAAUCGAGAGAAAUACCACAUAAUUGUUCGAAUUGUACAAAAUACAUUACAUAGUUCAUCACAUGACCACAUAAUACCACAUAAUAUUAAAGUUCUAAACCUACUCAUAUAUCCAAUCUUGUUGAGGUUCACUAUUGUUAUCCCAUAACAAUCUUUCAUUACGCCUCCUCCAGCAACCCAUUGGCAGCAAAAUCGAGGGACCUUCAGAGGCCCAUAAUCAAGUUCCCAUAUCUCCUCCAUGACACCAUAGCAGCUAUCUUUAUUCCCAUUAUUGUCUAUUGCAACUAUACAAACAUCACUAUUUUGGUUGGUACUCUUUUGAUCUUGGGCUGAGGGAUAUUGGUAUCCCAUGGGUCCCUGCCGACCAGGAUACUGGCCGGACCUGACAAGUGGGUCCACCCGACCAGGGCGUACGGGUCGAGGACAUGAAGAUACUUGGAGUACACGUCAAGGCAAUAGGACAAUUCAAAUAAGCCCAGAUAUCGUGAAAUGUGUAUCCUAGUCCGACUCAGAUUACCUUCCAUGUAACUACCAAUUAGAUUAGAUUCAAACCGACUUGUAACCCUAGGUCGUCAACCUAUAUAAGGCAGCCAAGGGCACCUCCCGAGGGCAACCUAACACACCUCAUCUCAUACCAGCAAUACAAUCCACGCAUACACGACGUAGGGUAUUAUUCUCUAGAGGUCCAAACUUGUCUAAAACCCUUGUGUCCCUUGAGUUCUCGCGAUCACCUUCGAGUUCUUGGUUUUGCAAUCGCCCUCACCUAAAAAUCAACCACUUGGGUAACCCCGUGGUGGACUGCCGGGCUUAUAAAUACGACAAUUGGCACGCUAGGUACGGAUGAUUGUGAGAUCCUCCCCAGCGAGCUCGAUGGCAUCCCGUUCCGACGUUGUUUACUCCGAGAGCAUGAAGGACUACAUCGUCAACCCGAUCUAGAUUCGCUUUGGGACCAUGCUGACGGAUUAUGAUCCAACUGCUUCUUUCUUCGAUUCAGGGUCCAGCGCUAGCUCGGCUUUCGUCGGAUCUGCUGCGGCGGGACAAGUUCUCCACCCAAGGAUCAUCACGCCGCUUGCCCAGCAAGUCGGGAAUCUCUCUCUCUCUCUCUCUCUCUCUCUCUCGCCCUUCCCGAGAGGGUUCUAGAUCUACUCGCUGUCGGUCGCCCACCCAUAGCCUCCGACUUGAUCGCAGGGCUAGAUCACAUCAGUAGUACUAUUGUUGAGUUCAUAGAUCUGUCUGAGGCGGCGCUACAUUCAACAAGGUCGGCGUAGGGUCCGUCCCGUAUCCCCUUUGGAUUGUGGAACUCAGCUGUCGUGUACUCCACCAAACUCAACCAGGCUUUCUAGAUCCAAUCUGGAGACCUACCCAAACCUACCUAGUUUCUGGACUCUGGUGAAUUCCAGGUGCCCCGUACCAUCCUGACGCCAAAUCCCCAUGGAAGCAACGACAAGAGCAACUUCCCCACGCCAAUUCGCGAAGCCUUCGUGGUCUCCACUGAUGAACCACCCUAGGAUGGCGAAACUUCUUCUCAGGUUGGAGGCUGUAAUGCUAGGAACCAGGACCGCACGACACGAUGCCAACAGGAGCAAGCCAACACCCAGCAACAACCCGUUGUCAACGUGGAGGCAGUAGGCGACCAGCGUCAACCACCGCGCAACGAUCAUGAUAACGCGAACCACGGCGACGCCCUGGACAGAUGCAGGCGCCUUGCACGCUCCCACAAUUUACUAGCCGACCUCAAGGAGGCUGGCCACAACAUCUUCACUACACCGUAGGCCAACCUAGAGGCUGUGUACGCCGACCUGGAAAAUCUCCUAGACUCACACCCAGUUCAGUGGAUUCGGGCACGACUCUAAUUCACUAAUGCCUAGAUCAAGGAGUAGGCCAACAGCCGACCCGCACACUCUCAGUCCAUAGCCACCCGGCACUCCCAGAGCCAAUCCGGGAAUAGCAGAUCUAACCACCGCCGAGGCAACCGCGCGGGAGGCCGGAUGAAGCCAGUCCUCAAAGAAGAGGUGGAGCAGAACGCUAGCCCACCCGCCAAUGACAACGCCAACAACGACUGUCAGUGCGACAACAACGACAACCGCUGCCGCGGUAGGAGAGGCGAUGUUGAGGACCGUGGCCGACCAGGUCGGCAACGUGAUCUCCAUGAUGAGCUGCACGACCUCCUCAACCGCCGCGAUCUCAACAAUCACCACAAAGAGCAUGACGAGAAUGAGCUCCGCUGCCGUGCCUAGUACGACCGCGACUACGGCGCUCCUGGACUCAACCACGAUGCUAAACGCCGGUAUCACCAUCAUUAGGAGGAUGAGAUGCGUCGCCGCGCCGACUACGACCGCGUGUACGGUGCCCCUAAAGACACUUACAACCUGCCCAUGUGUGAUAACGGCAGACGCCCUAGUGCUCCACCCGUCGAGUACUACCUCAACGACAACGACACCAUGGUGAUCGAUGGCUUCGCUGCCUUCACUCCACGCCUCAAGGCUGUGGACUGGCCGACCAUAUUCAAGCCGGUCAUCAAUGAAAAGUAUGAUGGUCGCUCUGACCCCACCAUCUGGCUCAAGACGUAUAGCACCGCGGUGAAAGCCGCCAAUGGCACCUACGACCAGAUGGCCACCUUCUUCCCGGUGGUGAUGGGUCCCGCUCCACUCCUGUGGCUGGAGAAUCUCCCUCCGAACAGCAUUGAUAGCUGGGGUCAUCUCACUAGAGCUUUCACUCAGAAUUACCAGGCUACCUAUAAUAGACCUGGCAACAUGGAGAAACUUGGCCAAGUCCGCCAUAGGUCGGGAGUGACGGGUCAACAUCUUCGUGGGCCGCCCCAAUGCUUUUUGUAGCAACUGCAAGCAGAAGCUACGUGAGCGAGAGGUGCACUUUGUCUCCAUACAACCAGUCCAGUAUCCACAUUGGUCAGAGCAACCCAUAACCUUCUCCAGGCAAGAUCAUUGGGUCCACAUCCCAGAUCCCGGGUCCUACCCGUUGGUGGUCUACCCGACCAUAGACUGGGCCCUACUUCCCAAAGUGCUGAUCAAUGGUGGUAGCGGCCUUAAAAUUAUCUUCACAGAGAACUUGAAGCGCAUGGACUUCGACUUCAAGCGGCUCCAGCCCUGUGAAGAACCCUUCUAGGGCAUCGUCCCUGGCAGAGGGUCCUACCCGAUUGGCCAAGUUGUUUUGCCUGUCACCUUUGGCGCACAUGCCAACUACCGCACGGAGUACGUCACAUUUGAGGUGGUGAACUUCAAGACUUCCUACCAUGUAUUCCUUGGUAGGCCCAUGCUGGCGAGGUUUAUGGCAAUCCCGCACCACACCUACCUCGUCCUCAAGAUGCCAGUUCCAAACAGAGUCCUCUCCAUCUAUGGUGUCAUUGAGACAUCGUACAAUUGCGACGCCAAGGCACUUCAGCUCGCGGAAGCUAUGGAGUACUCAGCCAAGGCCACCGCUAUGGUGUCCGAGGCCUAGAAGAUAGACAAGAACCAGCUCACAAUCCCUGAGAUGGAGCCGAUGCCCACGAUGCUGCAGCCUGACCCUAAGGUCAAGAAGAUCUGCCUCGGCCUUUAAGACCCGACCAAAACGACCCUCAUAGGGGCCUACCUCUCCGAGAAAUAGGAACUCGCGCUCACCAGUUUCCUCCAUGAAAACUCGGAUAUAUUCAUGUGGAAGCCAUCCGAUAUGCCUGGUGUCCCCAGGGAGCUGGCUGAGCAUUCGUUAGACUUAUGCAAGACUGCACGAUUGAUCAAGCAGAAACUCCGCCGCUUCGCCUAAGAUCGCAAGGAGUCCAUUAGGGUAGAACUAAACAAGCUCUUAGCCACUAGAUUCAUCCAUGAAUCUAAGCAUCCUGAUUGGUUAGUAAACCCAGUUCUUGUAAGAAAGAAAAUCAAUGAAUGGAGAAUGUGCAUUGAUUACACUGACUUGAACAAGCUCUACCCCAAAGACCCCUUCCCCAAGUCGUAGACUCUUCGGCUGGGAGCAUCCUGCUCUGCUUCCUUGACUGCUACUCGGGCUAUCACCAGAUCGCCCUUGAUCCUGCCAACCAAGAUAAGACGGUGCUCAUAACGCCCUUCGGCAUAUACUGCUACAACACCAUGACCUUCAAGUUAAAAAACGCUGGUGCCACCUACCAGAAGGCAAUCUAGGGUUGCCUCGCAACACAACUGCAUAGGAAUGUUGAGGCCUACGUCGACGAUGUGGUGGUCAAGACAAAGGACGAUGAAAGCUACAUAGCCAACCUCGCUGAGAUUUUCAACAGCCUCCGAACUUACCGCUGGAAACUCAACCCCGACAAGUGUGUCUUCGGUGUCCCUUCUGGAAAGUUCAUGGGCUUCAUGGUCAGCUAGCGUGGCAUCGAAGCCAACCCCGUCAAGGUGGAUGCGAAUAGAAACAUGGUGAAACAAUCUAACAAGAAUGACAUCAUGAAGCUUACUAGCAUGGUGGCGGCCCUUAGCUACUUCAUCAACAAACUUGGAGAAAAAUGUCUCCCCUUCUUCAAGCUCCUCAAAAAGGGUGACACGUUCGAGUGGGACGACAAGGCCAGCAAGGCACACGAAGAGCUCAAGGCUUUCCUCACUACUCCUCCCAUCACGAUGGCCCCGGCCGACCAAGAAACGCUGUACGUCUGCAUCUCUACAAUAAUGCAUGUUGUCAGCACUGUGCUAGUUGUGGAGAGCCAAGAGCCCGACCAUACACACAUGGUGCAGCGACUGGUGUACUACGUCAGCGGGGUCCUCAGGGACUAUAAGAUCCGCUACUCAUAGGAUCAGAAAUUGCUCUACGCAUUUCUGAUUUCAUCAAGAAAGUUGCGCCACUACUUCCAGACGCACAAGAUCCGGGUGGUGUCAUCAUACCCCAUCGGUGAAAUCUUCCACAACAGGGAUGUCAACGGCUAAGUUAUCAAGUGGUCUAUGGAGCUCGGCGAGUUCGACCUCAAUUUCUGCCCACGUCAUGUGAUCAAGUCGCAGAUCCUAGCCGACUUCGUGGCUGAGUGGACGGAGAUCCAAAAGCUACCCUCCCUAGAGAGGCCUGAACACUGGACUAUGUACUUUGAUGGUGCCCUGAACCUCAAAGGAGUCGGUGUAGGGGUCCUCUUUAUAUCCCCCAAAGGCGAGCAACUCAAGUACGUGCUCCAGAUCCACUACAAGGCUACUAACAACGGCGCCGAGUUUGAAGCUCUCAUCCACAGCCUUCGCAUCGCCAUCUUCCUCGGAAUCGAAUGCAUCCUUGCGUAUGGCAACUCCAAGGUUGUCAUCGAGCAAGUCAACAAGAACUGGGACUGCACCAAGGAAUCCAUGGAUGCUUACUGCACGAAAAUCCGCAAACUUGAGGCCCAUUUCGAUGGCCUUGAGUUCCACCAUAUCCCUAGGAACCAUAACGUCGCUGCCGAUGUCCUGUCUAAGCUUGGCUCCAAGCGUGCGUAGGUUUCGGCUGGCGUAUUCAUACAAGACCUCCGAAAACCUUCUAUCAAAACCCUAGACCUAGACCAGGUCAACGAUGCUGGCGCUCAGGCUCCGGCCUACCCAAAAUCCACUGACGUCAUGAUAAUUGAUGCAGAAGAAGAUUGGUGCGCCCUAUUCAUAGCCUUGAUCAGUGAUCAGAUGGCUCCAAUGGACAAAAUAGAACAUGAAAAAUUAGCUCGAUGUAGCGCAAACUAUGUCGUUAUCGGCAAGGAGCUCUACAGGAAAGCUGUAUCUAUAGGCAUUCUGAUAAAGUGCAUUCUAUGCAGCGAAGGCCUCAAACUCCUGCAUGAAAUCCACUCGGGAACAUGUGGCAAGCACGCCGCCUCGGGCACUUUGGUCAGCAAAGCCUUCCAUUCUAGUUUCUAUUGGCCAACAAUGGUACCCGAUGCAGAGUUGCUCGUCCAAAGGUGCAAAGGGUGUCAAUUCUUCUCCAUGCAGCAGCAUCUGCCGGCUCAGGCCUUGCGCACCAUCCCACCAUCCUGGCCCUUUGCAUAUUGGGGACUGGACAUGGUCGGACCCUUCAAGACCGCUCCAGGCGGCUACACGCACAUCUUCGUGGCAGUUGACAAAUUCACCAAUUCGAUUGAGGUCGAGGCUAUCACCAGCAUUGAGCCGGCUAAAGCCACUCAAUUCGUGGAGGAAGUUACACACCGUUUUGGAGUGCCGAACAGGAUCAUCACCGACGUUGGCAAGCAAUUCACAGGCUCCGAGUUUUGGUACCAAGACAACCUCAUCGAUGUGUACUACUCCUUAGUAGCGUGCCCACGCUGCAAUGGUCAAGCUGAACGCGCGAACGGGAUAGUCCUCCAGUCCCUCAAGUCAUGCAUCUUCGACGAUGCAUCCAAGUAUGCCACCAAGUGGCUACACGAGCUACCCCAUGUCGUCUAGGGCCUACGAACACAAAAGAGCUGGGCUAUCGAGUACACCCCUUUCUUUAUGGUGUACGACUCAGAGGAUGUCCUACCAUCUAACAUGGCUUUUGUCUCCCCAUGCAUCCAGUACUACGAGAAAGGUGAGGCAGAAAUAAGUCGGUAGGUCGACAUCGACAGCCUUGAAGAGCAUCACAUGACGGCCCUCAUCUAGCACGCACGCCACAAGCAGUAGAUACGGCGCUACCCCAAUCGUAAUGUCAGGGAAUGUUUCUUCAACGUUGGUGAUUUGGUGCUUCACCGGAUCUAGUCUACCAAGGAUGUGCACAAGAUGUCCGUCCCCUGGGAGGGCCCCUUCAUCAUCAAAGAAGUCAUCCAGCCAGGAACUUAUCGACUCCAAUGGGCGGACAGUUCAAGCGUCCCCAAUCCAUGGAACAUCGAGCACCUACAACGCUUCUACCCUUAGGAUUCACAAGCUAUGUAUUCUACUUUUCCCUUUUCAUUGAAUUAGUACAACCUCUGUGGUUCUUAGCGUACCUACUGCCUUACUAUUCCUUUUACUCGAGCUGUUCCUGACACUCGGGGUCUAUCCGACCUGUUUAACAGCCCGCUCAUUCUCAAGCUCGGGGGCUACCCCUAGGCGCUAACCUCCGGGUCCUGCAUCUUUCUCCUUCCCCUCUCGAGGCAAUACGACUAACUCGUGUGGUCGGUGUCCCAGCUCACGAAACCUAGACAACCUUGCGUUCACCCCCCCUACAAGCUCGAGAUCCAGUCUCAGCAGGACGCUGGUCACGCAAGGCUAGGCGCUUAGCGACUAUAGGCCUCAGCUACAUGCUGUCCUGUUGUAUAUACCAAGGGAGGCAUGGAGACUCUUUUUUCUCCGCAUACGGUUAAGUUAAUUACAUAACUUGUCUUUUAAGACAAUUUAAUACACUGCAGAGGUACUGGUUCACCAGAUCAGGAAUCAAGUCCAUGUUGAAGUCGGCUGCGGCCCCUAUCGUAGCGCGCUCCAAGGGCAGCCACGGAAAGUAUGACACCAACAGAGCGAAGGCGUUCGUGACGCAUUCCAUCGCAGUUUCCUUCAACAGUGUCUUGAGUUGACCUAGUGCAGCCUUGAGAUGGUCCAGUAGUGGUGUUGGCGCGGUUGGGUCGGCAUCCGUUUGGACCAUGUCCAUCACAUAGCCGGCCCUUCCACAGAUCCUCUAGCUCCACUUGCAGCCCUGCAAUCACACGUUGGUCAUUUUAAAGAUUACUUAGAGCAGCCUCUAAGUAGCGCUCGGUUUCUUUGCGUGUGUUGGCUUCAUAGGCUAGCUUCUGCAAUAUUGCAUACUCACGCUUGACCACUGUGUCAUGCUCUUGCUGAAGGGGCGCAUUGGAGUCCUCACACUCCUUGAGGUACCGCUGGAGCCUGCUCCCUCAUCGUGGCAUCUGCUUACCCAAACAGGUCUACAUCAAUAUCAAGAUUAUAAGGAAAAAGCUGAGUAAACAAGUCGGCAUAGCCUACCUCUCAUGUGCGAAGUCAGAACAUCCUUCUCCAGGUCCUUCAGUAGGAGCUGGUCAGCGGCAUCUUCCUUAGCUCUCUUGAGCUCAGCCUCAAGGUGCUCCACCUUCAGGUGAUAGUGCUCGGCCCGCCGGGUCCCUUUCACCCUCUUCUGCACUUGUGCAGCCAAACCCUGUUUACAUUUCAACAUUUUGAGUUCUACAAGGAAACUGGAAUUCAAAUACAAGUCGGCAGAUGCACUUACAAACACCAGCUCGCCAACAUCCAGGAAUGCUUUCCACAUCUUGAGAAGGUCUUCCUUAUCCUGCGCCGCAUCCUCAGGUAAGUCCAUGUCAGAGAAGUCAUUGACGUCAGACUGAUCUUCAUGCAGUACACCAAGAUUAGCAUCCUCGGCGGACGUCUCUGGUGGCAUGUCAUCCUUGGCAGCUCAUUUUAUUGAGGCUCAGCUCUAGCCCCCUCAUCAGCCGCCUUCUCGACCUUGGGGUCGACCAUGGCAACGUCUGUAGCCCUGGAGCCGGCUCCAUCGCGUCGCGGCGCUAAGGUCAGCACGACCUCUCCGGUGUGAGCCCCUUUAUCAGCUCCGACUUCCAGAGGCGGUGAUUGUUCCACAGUGCACCUGCUUGCUGCCUCGAUCUGGGCCAAAGCAACUAGUCAGCUACGCUCUAACGUCAUUGGCCAGCACGACAGUCCUGCAUCACCAAGUUCAACAAGCAAUUCAAACAACUGGUUGGCAAACAUAACUGCAACACAGACAGCAUAAGCAGACGACACUUAAAGGGUGCUCUUCUUCUUCACUCGGUACUUGGGGUGCAAUGGUGGCAGUGGUGCCAAUGUAUCUUUGCUGGACCCGCCGCGGAUCUUCGUUUUCAGCGCCUCCUUGACACACGCCGCGUCGGCCACGGUGGUCUCCUGAAGCUCACUUUUUCUUCUUCGUGACCGGGCUUGGCGUGUCGGACUCCUCGUCCGCGUCGCUAGCCGACUUAGUGGUGCAGGCUGUGCUCGGGGCGGUCUUCUCCUUCCCCUUCCCCUUCUUGCCGGCCAUCUUCCUCUUCAUGAAGCUCGGUCACUGCGACUUGGUGGUAGGCUCCUUGUGCACGACUUGCCAUGUUCGACGCCCAACCAGCUCAGAGCCUUGAGCCUGACCGACCUCUUUUGUCAUACCCUCGUCCAACCCAAUGAAAGAGUCAGACUCCCACUAAAGGUCGGCGGGCGGCAUGUUGGGCUCGUCGGUCGGGCGAAUCUUGGGACACUGCUGCUCGACCCCUCUAGGAAGUGGCACUGGGGAAAAGAAUAUAAAUUCAUCAUCCUGGACAAUUAACAAAGCAUAAGUCAGAAACAACUCAACAUCAAAAUAGUAUGCAUAACCAAUAUCAGUACAGGUCAUACCAAGUUGGGUGGCGGAUGCUUCAACGAAUAUGCCUUAGGGCAGUUCCUGUUCUUGAUCAUGCCCCCGAAGAACUCGAACACCCGUUUCACGAUCUCCUCUAUGGGCACCUUGCACGGGACCUCCCGGGUCAGGUCCACUGGCCCCGAGUAUUCAUACGCCGGGUAUACUCGGUGCUUGAUUGGUUGCGUCAACCUUUUACUGAAGUUGAUACUGAUGGCCCCGGCUGUCAGUCCCCGUGAUUUUAGGUCGGCGAUCUUCACCAGCAGCUCAUUCAUUUGGACUCUCUCCUCUGAGGUUGGUUGAUUUGACCACUCGGGCAUAACCACUGGCCCGUACCCUAUACGCGGUGGCAGCUCGGGCUGCUGAUUGGCAACGGUGAACCACUCCUUAUGCCAACCCUUGUUGGAGUCCUUCAACUACAGAUCAAAAUAUUCCUGCACCUUCUUCGACCGCAGAGAAAAUCCACUACCCCCGAUGACUCGCUGCUGUUUCCCAUUGGUGGCCACAAUCUUCAAUUGGCACAGAUAAUGCCACAGAGUGAAGUGCGGCGGGAUUCCAAGAUACGCCUCGCACAGUUGGAUGAACACCGCAAUGUCUAAAAUUGAGUUGGGAUUGAGAUGUACCAGCUCGAUCUUAUAGUAGUGCACGGUAUCCCGAAUCCACGCUCUAAGAAUGGCGCAAAGACCACCGUCUUUGUCAUUUCCACCGAUGGGAAGUCUUGGCCGACGGUCAGCUUCCAAUCGAGAAGUGCCUGCGGCCUGAGGAGGCCCCAGUUGAUGAGGGCCUGGAUGCGCUCUUGGGUCAUCACGAACUUCAUCCAGAUGGUGGAUGGCUCCGGGAUGUCUGCCUACGCCAUUUCUUCAAGCUCUAAACCUUGAGAUUUGGCUGUAAUGGACGCUAGGAUUUUGGUGCGCAUACGGAGGCACGACAGCUUGGGCGGCGGAAUGCGCGCGAGCUGCUUUAGGGCUUGCAUCGGCGCGGCCUAGCGUUCGCAAGGGCGGUGAUGAGGAGCUCAGUGGACUGUGGCGGCAGUGCUGUGAGUGUUACGGAUGGAAAUGAAAUGGCAAUGUGACCCCUUGCGCUUUUGAGAGGCGUAACGACGUUACUUACGGAUGGAAUUUGCGGGACUUCCAUUAUCUGUGGGUUUUGCAUUAGGACGGCAUGCACGGGAUGGAAUCUGCGGGUUAUCCAUUAUGAUUUUAACGACCUGCCUCCACGGCUCCGCCAGUCCUCAUCCUCAGGGACUAGGCGCCUAAUUCUAGUUGGCGUGCCUUCGUGGCCCCGCCAGUCCUCGUCCUCGGGGGCUGGGUGCCUAAUUCUGGUCGGCGUGCCUUCGUGGUUUCGUCAGUCCUCGUCCUCGGGGUCUGGGCGCCUAAUUUUGGUCGGCGUGCCUUCGUGGUUUCGUCAGUCCUCGUCCUCGGAGGCUGGGUGCCUAAUUCUAGUUGGCGUGCCUCCGCGGCUCUGCCAGUCCUUGUCCUUGGGGGCUGGGUGCCUAAUUCUAGUCGGCGUGCCUCCACGGCCCUGCCAGUCCUCGUCCUUUGGGGCUGGGCGCCUAAUCCUAGCCGGUGUGCCUCCAUGGUCGCGCAUGUCCUCGUCCUCAGGGGUUGGGUGCCUAAUUCUGGUUGGCGUGCUCUGUGGUCUCACCAGUCCUCGUCCUUGGGGGCUGGGCGCCUAAUUCUGGUCGGCGUGCCUCCGUGGCUCCUCCAGUCCUUGUCCUCGGGGGCUGGGUGCCUAAUUCUGUUCGGCGUGCCUUCGCGGCUCCGCCAGUCCUCGUCCUCAGGGGCUGGGCGCCUAAUUCUGUUUGGCGUGCCUCCACGAUCCCGCCAGUCCUCGUCAUUAGGGGAUGGGCACCUAAUCCUGGUCGGUGUGCCUCCGUGGUCCCGCCAGUCCUCAUCCUCGGGGGUUGGGUGCCUAAUUCUGGUCGGCGUGCCUCCGUGGUCUUGCAAGUCCUCAUCCUCGGGGGUUGGGCGUCUAUUUCUAGUCGGCGUGCCUCCGUGGCUCCGCCAGUCCUCGUCCUCGGGGGCUAGGCACCUAUUUCUAGUCGGCGUGCCUCCGCAGCUCCGCCAGUCCUUGUACUCAGGGAUUGAACACCCUAUUUCAAGUCGGUGUGCCUCCGUGGCCCUAUCAGUCCCUACAUUCGGAUGUAGGUGCAUAUAUAUAUUCGGCUACAAUAAUAUUUCAUGGAACGAUCACUGGCAUUAUGUAUUACAAAUGCCUGUGGCAAAUCUACGAUAGCUGAUAUCCCAGGAUACCGGCAAAGAAAGUACAACAAAAACAAAAGUUACACAGAACACCUCCUUCCCAACGGUGUGCUCGAGAAGGUGGCAGGGUUCACGAUAUAGCCUCUUCAUGAGGAUUCUUCUAGCAUCGUCACCUCAUGACUUCAUCAAAGAGACUACGAAGGGAAGGAGCAUCCUAGUUUACCUCACGAGAAUUCUUCUGGCAUCAAGCUUCCGGGCAGGUGCUACUCCUAUCAAAGACUACAAGCUUCCAGCCUACAAGUGCUAUUUUUUGGGCCAUGGUUCUUGUAAUGAACGGUGGUCUAUUUAUAGCAGGAUGGUUAGUAUACCACCAAGGUGCUACAGUGGACUUGUGAGGGUUCACGACAAGACUCUCCCAUACUGAUAUGGCUCCACAGUGUUCACGUGAUGCCUGGCCUGGCUUCCGUAAGGGCCGGUAGUAAUCUUGCAGUCGCUCAGGCGGUGCAGUGUUUGUGGACAGACAUCUUUGUCGUGUCUCUAUCGUUGCACCAAUCCUUAUCUUCAAAGAUUUGGGCAUGUUCUUUUGGUUGGCGGGCUUCCAUGGCUGCGCCUAUCCUUGUGCUCGGGCACUAGGAUCCACUUCAAGAAUUACCUUUUUUUCUCUUUGACCAUUGGACCGAUUAUACUAAUCGCUUCAAUGCUCGGGGGCUAUUCCUACGGUUUGCAUCUUGCGACGCCCUCCGUAACGUUUGUUUCGACCUGUUGGAUGCUAGCAUCCAUCAACUCGGCACUCAACUUCGCUCUGCGCGUUGGCUCUGCGUUCGCUCGGAUUUUCCUCUUUUUUGAGCACUGCGCAGCCUCUCCGUCACCAUGAUGCCAUCACAGCUUCAUCCGAUUUCAUUCUGAAGCUUCACUGUGAUGACCUCAAGUUUUGGUUCACCUACACAUCGCUUGGGGGUUUGAGGGAUAUGGGUACCCCAUGGUCCCUACCAACCAGGAUACUAGCCGGACCUGACAAGUGGGCUCACUCGACCAGGGCGUGCGGGCCGAGGACAUGAAGAUACUUGGAGUACACAUCAAGGCAGCAUGACAGUUCAAAUCAGCUCGGAUAUCAUGGAACGUGUAUUGUAGUCAAACUUAGAUUACCUUCCAUGUAACUACCAAGUAGAUUAGAUUCAAACCGACUUGUAACCCUAGGUCAUCAACCUAUAUAAGGCAGCCAAGGGCACCUCCUGAGGGCAACCUAACACACCUCAUCUCAUACCAGCAAUACAAUCCACGCAUACAGGACAUAGAGUAUUAUUCUCCGGAGGCCCGAACCUUUCUAAAACCCUUGUGUCCCUUGAGUUCUCGCGAUCACCUUCGAGUUCUUGAUUUCGCAAUCACCCUCACCUAAAAAUCAACCACUUGGGUAACCCCCUGGUGGACUGCCGGGCUUAUAAAUCCGAUAGGCUCUCGUAUAAAAUGUAUACCCAUUUAUCUCGUACCCUUGGUAUUGCAAUAUCGAGACAGAUGGUCCCAUAGGCAAACAUUGAAGUUGUUCAUCAAUCAUCUCAUUACCCAUGAGUUUUCAUUGGAUCCAUGUUGCGAAAGUAUCUAUGUGAUGCUGUGUAAUCCGGGCCUCAGACUUCCCCGGGUUUUUGGACCGUACAAUAUCCUUGUGCUCCUCCAUAUAUGGAACCACCGAGGAUGAAUUCUGCAGCAUUGUGAAGUUUGCUUUGUUGAUUUCAGUCUCAUGUAUGUUCAUAUUAGUUUUCUUCACGUGGCCCUCAUGGCGUGAUACGUGGACCCCUAUCAGACUAAGUUCAUCAAUAAAGUCAACACAAAACUCAAUGACCUCCUCUGUUCCAUAUCCUUUGGUGAUGCUACCUUCUGGACGGACAUGAUUGCGAACGUACUUCUUUAGGACCGACAUGAACCUCUCGAAAGGCCACAUAUUGUGCAGGUAUACUGGACCCAGAAUGGUUAUCUCUUUAACAAGGUGAACCAAGAGAUGAGUCAUAAUAUUAAAGAAGGAAGGUGGAAAGACCAUCUCAAAGCUCACAAGACAUUGGAUCACGUCAUUCUGUAGCUUUAUUAGAUUGUUUGGAUCGACUGCCUUCUGUGAAUGCUCUGAGAAUAAAAGUCUCCGGUUUGUCCUCAUCCCAUAUAGGUACACCUUAUUCCUUCCAGAGCAGUAAAAGUUCAUCAACCAACGGUCUUAGGUACACGUCAAUGUCGUUGCUAGGUUGUUUUGGGCCUUGGAUAAGGACUGGGAUCAUGCUGAAUUUCCGCUUCAUGCACAACCAAGAAGGAAGGUUGAAGAUACAAAAGGUCACAUGUCAUGUACUAUGAGCACUACCGAACUCACCAAAUGGAUUCAUUCCAUUAGUGCUUAAACCAAACCUUAUAUUCCUUGUGUCCUUCUCAAAGUCUGGAAAUUCUCUGUCAACAUUUCUCCACUGGGAACCAUCUGCGGGGUGUCUCAGCUUCUCAUCUUGCUUACAUUCUUCUUUGUGCCAUUGCAUCAACUUAGCGUGCGCCUUGUUUCUUAACAAAUGCUUCAAACAUGGUAUUACAGGGAAAUACCACACCAACUUUGCUGGAACUCUCUUCUUGAUAGGCUGCCCCUCAACCUCACCAGGGUCAUCUCACCUGAUCUUAUACCGCAAUGCCUCGCAAACAGAACAAGCAUCCAAUUUCUCAUAUUCGUCGCCGCGAUAAAGGAUACAAUCAUAGGACAUGCGUGUAUCUUCUGUACAUCCAAUCCUAGAGGGCAAACAACCUUUUUUGCUUCAUAUGUGGUUGAGGGCAGUUUGUUACCCUCGGGAAACAUGUUCUUUAUGAUUCUCAAUAGCUUCGCAAAUCCCUUAUCGGUCACACCAUUUGCUGCCUUCCACUGCAUCAAUUCCAAUGUGCUACCCAACUUUUUGUGGCCCUGUUUGCAAUCGGGGUACAACAACUUUUUUGAUCCUCCAACAUCUUCUCAAACUUCUUUGUCUCCUUCGUAUUUUCGGAGUCUUUCUUUGCAUCUAGCAACACCUGACCUAGUUCGUCAGCUGGUUCAUCUUCUACAAAAUCUUCUUCAGCCUCGCCCAUUUCAAAAUCUACAAAGGCACCACCUUCAGCCCAGUCAGUUGGAAUGUUGUUAUCAUCAUCAUCUUCUUCUUCAUCGUCUUCCAUUACAACUCCUCUUUCACCAUUCUUCUCCAAAGAAUAUAGUUAUCCAUGAAACCCCAACGAAAUAUGUGGCCGUGUAGAGUUUUUCUAUUAGAGUAAUCCUUGUUAUUUUUGCACAUUCACAUGAAACCCUUCAGCGACUUGUUGACCUCUGCUGCUUCGAGAAAAGUCUUUAGACCAUUAUGAACGACAUGGAGCACUGUUCCCGUACAUCCAUUGCCGGUCCAUCAGCAAAAAGUUUUUAAUUUACUUCUACAUUUGUAAAGCAACAAAUGUAAAAAAAACUUUCUGAAAAAUAUUGCUGACCUUUUAUAUAUGGACCACUUUCGAUGAGUAAAUUAAAUCCCUACAAAUUUUGUGGGGAAUUUCGGCAGCAAAUCCCUUUGUCCCGAAUCGUCGUUAGGUUAAGCUCAACUAUGUUAUUUAUGUAAAGCAACAAAAUUAGUUGAUUAUUUUUGUUUCAACAUUGUACUUAUGUUAUUUAUCUAAUGCAAAGCAACAAAAGUAAUUAACACAACACAUAUUUGUCAACAUCCAAUACGAAUUUCUCAAUAUCAAACAGACUUUCAUAAAUAAAAAUUCUACAUUCUACAUGCAUGUAUGCAUGUAUAAAUUGAAAAACUCUCCAUUCAUCCUCACUCUAAAAAAGCAUAAAUUUCUCUAGCUACAAAGCAUAAAACAUAGAAUACUAAUCAUGAUAGGAGGGAGGAUGAAGUUCCUAACUUUUAGAACAGUUGGAAGGGUGAAAUCCCCCCAAAUCGUGGGAAAAAUGGGCAGCACCUCCCCUAGGUCGCCAUGGGAGUGAAGAAGCCCGAGCUCUCGAUCAAAUGGUUGAGCUCGAGCUCAGGGAGGAAAAAUGAGCUUAUUUUAUAGUUUGUACAUUAGUACCGGUUGGUGGCUCCAGCCAGUACUAAAUUGUGAUAUUUAGUACCGGCUGAAGCUAACAGCUGGUACACACGUACGUGAACACCAUUUAGUACCGGUUGAAGCUACCAACCGGUACUAAAUGGCUUCAAGGGGAAUCUAGCCGUUGGCCACCCGGUCCCCAUGCCGCCAUUUAGUACCGGCUGAGGCUCCAAACUGGUACUACAGGGGCUCCGGUGGCACUAUGCGUGACGACAUCUGAUACUAGCGCGUUGGACGAAUGCUCAGUUUCUAGUAGCGUUGGUGACCAUCGUCUUUGACCUACACAAGUGAUUUUAUCCGCAUAAACAAUUUUGCAGGUUCCGGAUAUGGGAACCCGUGGUACAUGUGUUGAUGCCCCAUUUCUAAACGCCUUUUUAUACUUAAACUGCAUAAUACUUCCAGAAGGUUAAUUGUUUUACUAUACUCGUGUAAGUAGUAGUACAGUUGCAUGAUUUGCGAUACAAGGGUUUAGAGCAACCGUGUUAUGUCGUUUUCAAGAGGGAGCCCUUAAUUAAGAACGAUGUGAUUGAAGUGAACUAGAUAGCCAGAAGAAGAUCCAACCGGCCAAAAAGCCCAAGUGUACUUUCUUUGGCACUGUUUACUAACAAAUUGAGUCGAUCAUGAGUCACUAAGCGAGCCCUAACUCCUGCCUUUAAGUUGGCAAGCUGUCCUCAAAACAAACUCCCAGAAGAGCAUGGAUCCAAGCGACGUCGAAUCGCUAUAUAAUAACGCGACGUGAGCUACUCAUUUUGCUACAUAUCCAAGUUUCCCAUUUCAUGCAACAAUAGCAGCACGGAUCUCAAGUCUCAACCACUUUCAUGGUGGGUAUCGUCCCAGACGUGCCAAAUUAAAGAAUUUUCCACAAAUUAAUUAAGAUUAAGAAAGCCGGAAUACACAGGCCACAGUACACAAGUACUAGCAGCACCCAAGGGCAAACUGGCAACUCGGGGAUCAAACAGAUCUUCCCACCCGGCUUAAGCCACUCCUUCCUGCCUCUAUAUUUUUGGGCAGCCUCCAUCCACCGGACGGAGGAGUUGGGUGGUGUGGUCCAAAGCCGAGGCGCGCGCGCGCGGCAGAGGGCCGGCCGGGUCCCAGAAGAGGUGGCGACAUGCAUGGUUCGGGUUAAGCCUAGGAGGUUCUCUCUCCAUGGGUAGCCCGCCCUUUGGCCGCCGUUCUCGUGUAAGAGCAUGCGCCAUGCACCGCGCCGUGUAUAUUUGUGGCGUGGGGGGCGCAGCAUUGGAGCGCACCCAUUUCGGUACGGGCCUCCCAGUUUAGGGUAAACCCGACCAGAGUGGGUAACUGCGCAGCUCCCCUCCAAAGUUACCCACCUUUGAAGCAGAUGAGAGAGAUAUAGAGAUGGAUCCAUGGAUGGCGACGCGUGAAAAAGAUGCGAGAGGAAGAGACCGGCAGCGCGCUACAGGGCAGCCGCACAGUGACCCUGCCCUCUUUCCCGGUCUCCACUAAUAUUCCGCUCCCCGUCCUCUCCUCCCCCAUGCCGGCCGGCUCAUUAUAUCAGCGCGCACAAUGCAAGCUGCUUAGGCCUUGUUUGUGGCAUCGUGAGGGUGUGGCCUAGCUGAGCUGGGGCGUGCUGAUCAGCAGGCGGCAGAGCUGAGAGAGAGCUAGCGGCUGUGCGAGAGCGAGAGCAAAGCUCGGAGAGGGGAGGAGGAAGGAGAGAUCGUCAUGGGGAGGGGACGGGUUGAGCUGAAGCGGAUCGAGAACAAGAUCAACCGUCAGGUGACCUUCUCCAAGCGCCGCAACGGCCUGCUCAAGAAGGCUUACGAGCUCUCCGUGCUCUGCGACGCCGAGGUCGCGCUCAUCAUCUUCUCCAGCCGCGGCAAGCUCUACGAGUUCGGCAGCGCCGGGUAGGCGAUCUCGACUAGAUACACUCACGGCCACUAAUUAAUUUUCAACUCCUGCAAGCAGAUCUGCUGCUUUUACCCCUUUUUCCCCCCCUUUGUCGAAAAGAUCUGGUGAUGCUUUGGUCCGUUGCUCGGUUUCGUUUUCCUCUUAUUUGCUGCUGCUGGCUUCGCUUUGGCUUUCUUCUCUGUGAUUUCUUGGCUUUUUGCAGCGAGUAGCCGGGCUCUACUCCUGUAGUUCCUGGCCUUGGUGAGGCAUGUUAUUUUAUUCCUGCUGCUAUCUGCGUGUGUAUCCGUGCGGUAGGGGCAUGGCGGUGUUCAUAUAACCCGGGUGCUGGAUCCCUAACUGGCAUGAGACAUCCUUUCAGCAGAUCUACGAGCCCUACCCUUUGCCUCUUUCUUCCACCUUCUCCGGGCACUUGAAGACUGAAGUAGUCGCCCACGCACGCACGCGCCUCUUUCCUCCAUCUUCUCCGGGUACUUGGGGUGGCCAUCUUUCGUGUGUUGGGCCGUGCGUGUGUCAGAGACAGUUCGAUUGCUGAGCUAACAGAGGGGAUCCUUGGGAGGAAGGGGGUAGAGAGAGUUAACACGAUGAGGUCUGCGAGGGGAAAGGGAGGUAUGUUCUUUCCCCUUUUGAUCCAGCGCCUGCUUAUAUGAAAUUCCUGCUGGCCACACACUUGUCUUGGCACUUGGUUUUGCUCUGGCCACCUCGUCACAGCAAACCUCUUCAUCUUGCCUGAUCUAUCACAUGCUGAUUUGCUCCUUGUUGCUGCUUCUUUUAUCUUUUACAAUUUCAUGCCAGUUUGCUCGGCAAUGACAAAAUUGAGGCACAUAUCUUAGUAUAUUAUUAGCAUGUUUGCCCCAUAAAAGAUUUAGAUCUAUUUGAUUUGCCCCUUCUCCUUUUCAUCCUCCUCCCUUGUUUCUUAAUGUUCUUCGUUGUGUUACUUUCAUUUACUAGAUGGUUUUUGAUGUCUAGAUAUAGAUAUUUUUUGUUUCCUCUUAAGGUAUUUUGAUCGGAAGAUAUGUGGAAGAAUAUUUCUUGUUGUUCCUUUUCUUGCUCUCAUUUUAUGGCUAUAUAUGCAUCAGUACUACUGAGUCAUGGAUCACACUUUCGACUUUAUUGAUCUUGGAUAUUGCUUGCACUUUGAUCAUUUAUUUCCCAUUUCUUGUUUGUCAGUUUAAACCAAUUUCUUGGUUUCAUGUAUUUCGCAGUUUAUUGACCAUGCUGCUUGAAUAUCCUUUUUUCCUUCUUCUGCAUGUGGCAAGAUCUAAACUAAUGCUUCAGUUAAAACGAAGUUAUAUAUCUUCUCAAUUAAAUCUAGUUUAGGAGAGAAAGCUCCCCCUCCUGUAGUGGAUCCUUAUCUUUGUGAAAAAAAUCAAAGUUCACUGCACGCAUGUUCAAUUUUUUUUCUUAACCACUGGUGUUCGAUUUGUUCGCAACUUGAAUUAUGAAACUGUUGAUUUUCGCUGAAAAUGAUAAUAUCGAAAGUUCCAAUUAUAUGCUUCAGGUUGUGUACGUUGUUCAUAUUUCUAACAUCAACUAACCAAUGCAUCUGAUAAAUAUUGAGUGAUGUAUGGGGGAGAUGUCUUACAUUAUGCAUCUUGGUGUGAUGCAUGUUCGAUCUAUUUACAAACGAAAGUGUGAGCAUUGUUUGCUUUGUCGUAGGAAAGUCAGGUAAGCUUGAGAUUAAAUCCUAUGAGUUUUAUUUGUUGAAAAAAUGUUUAAUUUGCCAAAGAAAGUGCUAAACUUGGUAACCACCAAUUUACUGAAAUUUUAUAGCAUCGUAGAGCUAGUCUGCUUUCUCAAGGCUUUUGCCUUCUUUCCAUAGAAUCAUCAGUUCAUGGCACUGUUCUCCUUACUCUCACUAUAUAGUGCCAGCUGGAUGUUAAUGUUUAAAAAAUGAACCGCAUCCGGAGUGUGAAAAUCUAUAUCUUCUUGUGCCUCUCUAUUUUUCUAUAAGCAUGGCUUUUUAGAUUUGGGUGCUUUUUCAUGUUCACGAUAAAACUUGGAUUAGUAACCAGAUGACAUUUGCGAGGCAACAAAUUUUCUUUGCUUAGGCAUAUAUACAUAGAAUUGAAUUUUCAGAGUUGCAUACGAAUCGCUGUGCAGUAUAAUAAGCAUAAUGGUUCUUACAUAAUCUUGUAACAUGAGACGUCAUAGAAAUAGAGAGCUGUGACUGUUCUUAUGCAUUAUAGAAAUCAUUUGCAGCGUUUUUUAAUGGCAUCUAAUUUGGUUUCUUUACACAUAACUUCCUGUGCAGAAUAACUAAGACAUUAGAAAGGUACCAACAUUGCUGUUACAAUGCUCAAGAUUCUAACGGUGCACUCUCUGAAACUCAGGUACACCAUCAAUUGUUGCUCAUGAUUACCUGUACUUUAAAGUUUCGUUUCCUCCAAAAAUAAAUAUGCAUGGUUUCUCUUUACUUUGCUUAUCUACAUAUUUUUUAAUUAAUUAUCUUUAAAUUCUCCAACAUAUUGAAUACAACCAUUAACUAGAUCUACAAUUUUUCUUCAUUUGAUCCAACAUGCAGUUUGACUACCAGGUUAUAUUAGUUGUCAUACAAAUAAAAGGCAAAUACUAUAUAAUAAGUAUAUGGUAUAUACCAUUAUCAAUCUUAUGGUGGAGAUAUUAAAUCUGAUCCUAAAAGUUAAAGUGAAUUGUAUAUAACUAGACGUUGUUUUUGGUGUAUCAACAAUGUUUAAGUAUCUUUCCAUUUUCACAAAUUUAUAAUUUAUAAACAAAGGAAUAAUGUCAAAAUGAAAUGAAUAUAAUGCUUUCUUGUUACAAGUUACAACCACAAGUAAAGCUAAGAGAGAAACUACUACUGUGAGAACUGAAUUCAUUUUCAGAUUUAGUUAUCAUUUUCAGAUUUAUUUAUCACGCCUUCUAAUUUAAGAAUAUUUAUUCCAUGCUCUGUUCUUAGAUUCUGAGGUAUCAUUAAGCUGCGAAGUAAUCAAGACCAUUAAUCAAUUUCUGUCUGUUAUACUAGUACAUGCGCAUUCAAGUUAGUUGUUGUUCAUUGUAAACAAGCUCCUAAUGCAAGCCUAGAUAUUAUUUCUGAAUUUUGGUAAAUUUAUACAACAUAGACUUGUUUUUGCACUGGUAUUUGACAUUGUAAAAUGGCUAUUCCUGCUAGUCUUUCACCGGUAGUUGUGUGUAGUAAAUAAGUUAUAAGCUCCCAGUGAAAGCCAAAAAAAUUAAUUAUAGAACUUAAUUAGUGAAGUUUCUGCAAGAGUUCAUUUUUUUUACAUGAUAUUUGUUAAAAGGUCAUUCUUGCUGUUUUCCAAUGCACUAAAACUUGUAGAUAAGGUCAACGGGCAAAUUAAAAUGUCAUGUAAUUGAUCUAGUAAUGAGGUUGACUAUGCCUUUUUUUUUGUUUAGGGCUGGUACCAGGAAAUGUCAAAACUGAGGGCAAAAUUUGAGGCUUUGCAACGCACGCAAAGGUUAGAUUUUUCAUAUUUUUACAUGUGGUAAUGCAAUGCCUCAACAAUGGAAUUAUCAUAUUUGUAUUCCAUUAUUUGAACAGGCACUUGCUUGGCGAGGACCUUGGCCCACUGAGCGUGAAAGAACUGCAGCAGCUAGAGAAACAGCUAGAAUGUGCUUUGUCCCAGGCGAGACAGAGAAAGGUUCAUAUCUCAUUUUCCCCUUAUGUUACAGAAAACAGUAACACUUGUUUUUGGAGCUAAUUGAUGUAUAUAUUCGGUGUAAUCAUAGAACUCACCUUACUAUGGUAGCAGCAUUAGUAAUGACUUAGUCUGUGUAAGAUAACACAUAAUUAAUGUAUUAUGGAGUUGAAAUAGGACAUAAGGAUGAUUAAACAUAUUAGUCCAUUAAAUUUGACCUUAUCUUAUUGGCUUUAUAUAUUGUUAUUAUUACAGGUAAUGAAAGUUAUAAAUUAAGUAGCAUGCUGGUCUUUAUCUGUGCUAAAAUUACCAACAUUAGCUUUGAUACGAAAAGUAUGGUAUAUAACCUAGCUAUAUAUGCAUCCUAUCCACGAAAAGUAUAGUAUAUAACCUAGCUAUCCACUAAAAUUACCAACAUAUAUUUGUUUUAAAUCUUUCUAAUGGCAAAGCAAAUAGUCCGUGUUCCAACAUAUUCCAUUCUGAAUGCAUGGGGCUAAUCACCGUACCAACCAUCCAAACGAGCCCUUUACAAUAUGAAAAACUGUUUUUUCGAUUUAACGAGUUCAUUUUAUAAAUGGAAAUGCACAAAUACAUACUUCUCUAUUCGUGCAGUAUGGCUAAUUAUUACCCCAAAUUCUUUUGCCAGACACAACUUAUGAUGGAGCAAGUAGAGGAGCUUCGCAGGAAGGUAUUUUGUAUCAGACUUGUUUAUUCAGAAAAAAGGGCUUGUUUAUACAGUAGUAAUGGAAGUAGUACAGUCGCAUGGGCGUGUGGCUCCAGAAGUGCUAGUUUUCUACUACUGCCGAUGACUUGCCAUAGGUUGAUACACUGUAGCGAGCUUGCCUAUAUCGUAUGCACACUAGGGUAGAUCCUAUGUCCUUCAUUUGAACAAUCAUAGGGUAUGUGCUAUAUAUAGAUUGAUAUGCAUAGGUGGCUUCCAUGUACUUUCUUGUAAAAGAGAUCCAGCUGUUCAUCUUAAUGUCUAAUGCGGCAACAUUUCUGAUGGACUGGGCAGGAGCGUCACCUGGGAGAAAUGAACAGGCAACUCAAGCACAAGGUCCUUAUCUGUUUCCUAGUAAAACACUUGCAUUGUACAUUAGAGUUAUACUUUACCAUGGACAUUAUUUAUUUGUUUACGAUGUUAUAUGUUUUAUUUCCAAUUUUUCAGCUCGAAGCUGAAGGUUGCAGCAACUACAGAAACUUGCAGCAUGCCGCCUGGCCAGCUCCCGGCGGCACCAUCGUGGAGCAUGACGGCGCUACAUAUCAUGUGCAUCCGCCUGCUCACUCAGCUGCUAUGGACUGUGAACCCACUCUGCAAAUCGGGUAUACAAUUUCUAGCUGAUUAUUGCAAUUCGAGAAACAGACAUGUAGCUGCUACCCGGUGAUCAAGCUGAUCACUCAUAAAAACUUAUCAUUGUAGAGUACUAACGAAACAAAGAUAACUCUGUUGCUAGGUAUCCUCAUCAUCAGUUUCUGCCUUCCGAGGCAGCCAAUAAUAUUCCACGCAGCGCCCCCGGAGGCGAGAACAACUUCAUGCUGGGAUGGGUUCUUUGAGUUCCCCUAUUGCAUCCAUCAGAUGAAAGUGGCAACAAAUAAAAGGCAUAUUCAGCGCUAUAUGUGCAUAUCCAUGCUCAGUGCUGGAUUUGCCGCCAUCUUUUAAAUUUGCUGUUCUGGUGUGUAAGAUCUAAUUAAGAACUGCACCUUUAUUCUAUGUGAUUGUAUUGUGGCACUUUUAUAUUUUUGUGCAAGGCCAAGAAUCUUGUAAAAAUACUUCUGUGCUGCCGGUGCAUGCAAUCCAAAAUUAUCUCUACCGGUACGUAUUAUAUCUGCUCAUGCAAGAUUCAGUGACUUCGAGUAUUUGUUUGCUUUAUCUCUUUCUUCUGGCCCUGGUUCCUGUCAAAGCAUGCAGAUAUAAUCAAGCCCUUGUUCACUUCCCACAAAACUCCCAACUUUAGCACUAUGCAAAAAGAAGAUUCCCCAUCACAUCAAACUUGCGGUACAUGUAUGGAGUACUAAAUGUAGACGAAAUCAAAAACUAAUUGCACAGUUUUGUUGUACUUUGCGAGACGAAUCUUUUGAGCCUAAUUAGUCAAUAUUUGGACAAUAAUUCACAAAUACAAACGAAACGCUACAGUGUUGCUACAGUAAUUUGGCACCUCCCAAAUUCCCCAAGUAAACAAGGGCCAAAGCCAACUAACCUUUAACCUCGACCGCACCAAUGCAACAUAUUUGUAAUUUUGUUGUUCCGGUGAUUUUAAUUUUUAUGAUAUGUCUGCAACUUUCUUUGUCAAGUACGGAGUAACAGAAAAGGCAAUGCUAUCGACAGAAUUUCGUUUCAGGUAUAGUCAGUUUAGUUGUUUAAUGAUGACAAGGACAUGUCAGAAAUCUUAGCAACUGUUCGUGCAAGGAUGUGUAAGCCGCCGGGUGCGAAUAAUUGUGCUGUUUUGAAUGAUGGAAUCUAAUCUUGCCAGAAUUGAUUGUCUGUUAGAAUGUCGUGUGCACUCAUUGAUGGAUUUACAGAUUUUUCUCUAAAAUUUUCUGUAGAUCGCUGAUGAAGUAGUAGUGCUACCAUUGUCUUUAUCUUGUACAGAAGUGUGGUGGCUGUGGACGGCCAUCCAUGUGCUUGUCCAUCCGACCAUAUCACCAAGAGUAGUUGGCGUUGUUGAUGCAACGAGAGCACACUUCAAUUUGUUUGCUUCUCUGCACGACGAAAAUAUGAUGGGAAGCUGUGGGAUCACUUUUUGCAACCUUUUUUUUUAAACGAUGGACAAUAAUAUGAGAAAUUUUAUCUGUCACGGAUGCAGAAAUAAUAGCAUGAUAUAUUUGAGUUUUAUGUCUAGAAUAGUUAGUUUUGGAGCUCUAAUGUUUUUUAGGCAAACUCUGACGACUAGUACUCUGGUAGUAUUUAACAUGCUUGAUCGCACAUAUCAAUUUGGAAAUGUUUUGUAUCGAUGGAUGAAGAAAGUUUCCUUCACACAAAAACUGAGAUUUUGGAUAUUGUUGGGAUUAUGUACGUCAAACAAAAAUAUCUUUGACUACGUAGUACGCUACGUCGCUACCCAAAUCAAAUGUGCAAAAGCAAACCGUUCGAAUGAGACGAUCAUCUAGUGUUCAAGUUGCUUGCUAAAUUAUUCGAUUGCCGACCAGCUCCCCAAGUCGUGACCAAGUAGUUGCACAAAAGUUGAUGAACUAAUUCAGUAUAAUUGCUGUAAUAGAAAAUGGUGACAGAACUUCAUGUACAAUGAAUAUGGCCGAUGAUAUACUCCCUCCGUCCCACAAAGACUGUUCGUUUAGAAAAAAUUAGACAUGAUAGUAGCAAUGUUAAAAGUCCAAAGUACCCCUAUUAACUCUUCUUAAUCCCGAGCUGCUGGAUGGAUUACCGAGUAGAAAUUAAUUUAGCAUGCACGCUUGCAAUAAUUGUCGGACCUGUUAGCCUUCCUUAUAUAGUGAGUUGGCUCGGGCAUCGAUGGUGGGAGUAAAUAAUCAAUUCGUUAACUGGACUAGAAGGUAUUAUGAGGGAUUUUAUGGAUGGUCUGAAAGCUAUAUAAACACUCUUUAUUAGACAAGUUUUGGAAGCUAAACAAACAGUCUUUGUGGGACGGAGGGAGUAUAUCACUAUGAAUAUAAUGUACAUCCUAAUAAUGAGUAUUAUUAGCUGCCGAAUAAUGCUUUGACAGAUACAUAAUCAUCCCUCGUAUCAACUCACUACUAGAAAACUCAGCAUUCGUCCCGAUGCUUAGUACCGAUUGGUGAGCAUUAGUACUGGAUUAGUACCGGGUCUAACGGCUAGUAUUCCAGGGGCUCCCCGUGACCCCCUUUCGUACCGGUUGGGGGCUCCAACCGGUACUAAAGGUCACCCAUUAGUACUGGGUGGAACCUCCAAGUCCCUCAGGCACUCCACCCGGUACUAAUGGGUGACCUUUAGUAUCGGUUGGAGCCCCCAACCGGUACUAACUUCCCUCCUAUAAAUCAGGCGUCUUCUUCCUCCUGCCCGAGCCGUUUCCUCCAACUCGGGCUUCAUCCAUUCAUGGUGAAAUAGGGGAGGUGUUGUUGGAUUUUUGACCAUUUCAUGGGGAUUUUACUCAUUCAAUUGUUCUAAAGGUUACAAACUUCAUCCUCCCUUGAUACAUGAUUAGUAUACUAAGUUUUAUGCUAUAGAGCUAUAGUAAUUUGUGAUUUUUAGAAUAAGUACAAUGGAAAAAAAUUUCAUUUAUAUGCUUGUGUUAUUUAGAGCUCAUAUUUGUGAUUUUUAGAAUAAGCUACAAAUUUUUGGAUUCUAUAUUUCGUAUUAGUCAAAGAAAUUGAAAUGAGGUUAGAGGAAUAAUUUCAUAGUUUAGUCCUUUACAAAUAUGAGCUAACUAAAUUAUGGGGAAAAAUAGAAUUUGUUCAUAUUUUAGUCAUUUGCAAAUAUGAGCGAGUUAAAUUGUGGUACAUAGAGAUAAUAAGAUGAAAUAGAGGUAUGUAUUAGUCAUUUUUAGAAUAAGCUACAAUGGAGAAAUUUUUCAUUUAUAUGUUAUGUUUGAGCUAAAUAAAUUGUGGGGAAAAAUAUACUUUAUUCAUAGUUUAGUCAUUUGCAAAUAUGAGCUAAAUAAUUUGUGGUACAUAGAGAUGGCUACUGCUGCUGGAGAUAGUGGCGAUGGUGGGGGCGAUCGUCGUUCCUCUCGCCGCAAGGGGAAAACCAUAGUUGGCCCUCAUGAUAAGCCGAAGAAAAUGAGCAUGUGGGAGAGAGCAAUGCUUUGUUAUUUGGAAAGAUGUCAUGAAGAUGCUGUUGCGGUAGGUAGGAACCUCCUUUUGGUGGUCGUUAUGCUCCAUCGCCAGUCCCGGGUGUUUCAGGUCCACUGGGUACUUCCGUCGUAGGAGUCACAAAUAAACCACAGGAUGAGGCUGGGUCAGCGAAACCUUCGUCUUCACCGCCCAAGGAUGCUUAAAGUCCUCGAAACCUUCGUCUUCACCGCCCAAGGAUGCUUAAAAUCCUCCUAGAUAGCACUCAGUGGAUGGUUUGUUGUAGUGUAUCAUGUUGUUUGGGUCUUAAAUUUAAAUUUGUGUAUUUAUAUCUAAAGUUUUAGCAACAUUUGAGUUUGUCGUAGUGUAUCAUGUUGUUUGGGUCUGAAAUUUAAAUUUGUGUAUUUCUAUCUAAAUUUUCAGCAACAUUUGUGUUUAAUGGUAUUUGUAUCAUGUUUGUUACGUUUAAUGAAUAAUUAUAUAGAUGAUCAGAAUAUCUUUGGUUCAGUAAUACUUUGUAGAUGGAUCGGCAAUGGAAGUACAACGUGAACAAGCAUUCCAUGGAGUACAUUAAUGGCUUGCGUGGUUUUCUCAAUCUCGCAGAGUCCAACAAGCCGCCGUCUGGUUUCAUUUGUUGUCCAUGCCGAAUUUGCAAAAAUGAUAAGGAUUACUCAUCCCGACAGACUAUUCAUGCCCACAUAUACAUUUCAGGAUUCAUGGCUAACUAUUUCAUUUGGACCAAGCACGGGGAAAGAGGAGUUAUGAUGGAAGAUGAUGAUGAUGAAGAAGAUGAUAACUAUAUUCCUGACUAGACUCAAGGAGGUGCCUUUGCAGAUGCUGCAAUGAGUGAGGCUGAAGAAGAGAUGGUUGCAGAAGAAGGUCCUACCGAUGAUCUAGGUCACAUGUUGAGAGAUGCAAAGGAAGACUGCGAGAAUGUGAAGGAGUCGAGCGUAUGUUAGAUGAUCAUAAGAAAUUAUUAUACACAGAUUGCAAACAGGGGCAUAAAAAGUUGGGUACCACACUGGAAAUGCUGCAAUGGAAGGCAAAAAAUGGAGUUUGUGACAAGGGUUUUGAUGAGUUAAUAAAAAUCAUAAAGAACAUACUUCCCGAGGGGAACAAAUUGACGUCCUCAACAUACGAAGCGAAAAAGGUUGUUUGCCCUCUGGGUUUGGAGGUACAAAAGAUACAUGCAUGUCCUAAUGACUGUAUCCUCUAUCGUGAUGAGGAAUACAAGAAAUUGGAGGAUUGUCCUGUGUGCGAAGUGCUGCGUUAUAAGAUCAGGCAAGAUGACCCUGGUGAUGUUGAGGAACAGGCUAGCAAGAAGAAAGUUCCUGCAUAAAAUAUUACAAAUUUGAUGAUGCCUACUAAUUUUUUUAAGUCAUUUAUUGUAAAUCGAAUCUAUAUAUAAAUAGUGGUAGAAAUUAGUGGAAUAGUGGUAGAAAAUAUAUAAAAAGAGCUAGAAAUUGUUAAAUGGCUAUUAAUUGUAAUUUGAUCUUCUUUGCAAUCAAUUAUUUUUACAAAAUGUAUAAAUAUUUGUCAUUAAUUCCGCAGUCAAUUAUUGUUACAAAAUGUAUAAGUUUUAUUGUUACACUGUAAAUAUUGUUGUAGUCAUUUAUUGUAACAAAUUGUAUAAGUGUUUCAUUCUUUUUUUAGUCAUUUAUUGUUUUGUUAAAAAAUGUAUAAAUAUUGUUCAUUAAUUUUGUAGUUAAUUAUUGUUACAAAAUGUAUAAGUUUUAUUGUUACACUGUAAAUAUUGUUGUAGUCAUUCAUUGUAACAAAUUGUAUAAGUAUUUCAUUCUUUUUUUAGUCAUUUAUUUUUUUGAAAAUGUACCACUAUUAGUCAUUUAUUUUAAAAAAAGUAUAAGUUAUAGUCAUUCUUAUAAUAAACCCUACUAUUUCUUAGAAUAAUUCCUUUUAUAUUAUAUUAGUUACAAUGACAUGAUUAGAUGAAGAGCGGGAUCGAUUGGACGACGAAUUCCUAAUGGACUCGAUAAGGGAAGGUCCCACGAACGAUCACCCAAACAAAUAGGUCGAUCACAGCUAGACUGACAUCUACCUCAACAUGUCUAGUGAUGGCAACAGAGGCAAAGCUACACUAUGAUUAGUGGGUGCUAAUGCACCCCCUAAAUUUUGCAAAAAUAGUGAUUAUGCUUAAAUUUUCACCAUACAUGCACCCUCCUUAGCUCAACACUAUGCACCCAUAAGGCAAAUGCAUCCCCCACUAAUUUACUCUAGCUUCGCCAUUGGAUGGCAAUGAGGAGGAACCAAUUGCCGAGGGAGGCAAUGAUGGGCAACAAGGCGAGGUAUAGCCAUUAUUAUACGUAAACAUGAUUUGAAUUCUCUACUUAUCAAGAUUAUUAGGAAUUAAUAGUUCUUUCAUUUUCAGCCAUCUGGAUCGAGCAGGCCUAAAUGGAAACGAGACAAGAAGAAGAAGUUAGAGGGUCGUAUCAUCAUCAUGGAAAUUGAUGAAGAUGGUGAACCAAUUGCUCUAGACAAUGCUAAGACCAAAUUAGUGAAUCAAAUUGGGUUUCUUGUUAGGGAUAACAUCCCAAUAAACUUUCAGAAUUGGAAAAGCCAUGAAAUCGAUGAGAGCGUGGUCCCCACAAGCACGAUCCUCUAAAAUCUGUGUGAACCGUCUUCCACAAAGAUGUACAAAUUGCACCAAUGGUACAUGGAGGCUUCAACCACCAAUUUACUCAUGCUAGAAGUUCAGAUUGGAGAUCAGCAUUAUUUCCGUGGUGAUGCCAUUAUAAAUGUGCCGCUCGAGGAACUUUAUUUCCUUUAUAAUUAAGACGCACUUGAUAAAUCACUCAUUAGCUCCUAGAUUCUGUAAGUGUUUAAUUUGCUCUAACUUCAAAAUCCCCGCUCUAAUCAUUGUCCAAUGUCUUAUCUCCUAUUCUAUUUUGUAUCAUGCAGGAUGGAGAUUCAAGCUUGUUUGAGGAUAGGAUUGUAUGACGUCGGCUUCAUGAACCCGGAUGUUAUAAAUGAGGUAAAUGUAAGAGAUAAACCAAAUUGGAUCUUGAAGAAUAUAUAUAAUUUCUUGGACAAGCAACAUUACAAGAAGUACAUACUUCUGCCGUACAACUUCAAGUGAGCGUGUUUCCCAUCUCUUUUAUUUUUCGAACUAGCAAUUAAAAAUAAGACUAAAUAGCCUUUCACUAUGCAUAUAUGUACAUCUUUCACUGGAUACUCAUUGUUAUCGUGGUUGAUCGAAGCAUGAUCUAUAUCCUGGACUCUCUAAGGAGACCAAGAAAUCAAUACACUGAUCUCAUAAACAUGCUUAAUAGAGCAUAGGCUCGCUUCCGUCAACAUUACUCAGGUGAAUUCAAGGAGCAACUUCAUAUCCACUCUGAAUUCCCGGUAUGUAUUGAAUUUGCACAUCUCGUGUCACUUCCUUAAACACAACAAAUACUUCAUAAGUUUUUUUUACCAUAUAUAUAGUGUUUGAGAUAGAAUACGGGAAAUAAUUUAUGCGAAUACUACAUAUGUGAGUUCAUCCAUGGCUUUGUACAUCCCAAGCAUAUAACUAACCACGAAUUCAGAGUACGUGUACAAAUUUCUUAACAAUAAAUUAGUUCUAAUUGUACAGAUCCAUUGAUCUAAUAUAAUAACCUUUGCUAAUGACAUAGAUUAUGCACAUGAAGGAAGAACUCCUCCAGACGGAAAAAAUCAGGGCAAUUCAAGAACAACUCAGUAGAUUUCUUCUGGACGAGGUAGUAAAUCCAGCGGGAAAGUUCCAUAAUGAUGGAUCAAAUCUGCAUUACCGUCAAGAUUCGGGUUCAGA
rnacentral:lncRNA from 1 species